rnacentral:lncRNA from 1 species
UACUCGAACGCGCGUCUUACUCACCCGACUUGGCAUCCUGCGACUUUUACUUGUUUCCGAAGAUAAAGUCUUAAAGGAAUCCGGUUUGAGUCGAUAGAAGAGGUGAAACAAAAAUCGGCGGAACUCCUGAAUGAUCUUACGAAAACAGACUUCCAGCACUGCCUCGAGCAAUGGAAGAAACGAAUGAAACAGUGUGUGGCGAGGGGAGGGGAGUAUAUUGAAGGGGAGCAUUUGAAUGUAGAAUAACUUUUAUAAUAAUACACUUUUUCGUAACCAGUCUCGUUAUUUAAUAGCCACACCUCGUAGUUUGACUAUUUCAAUUUUAAACUAUAUUAAACUAGAGUAAAACUUAAAAUAAAAACCAUUGAAUGCAGUUUGAAAAAGUUGACGAUUUGAAAUUAAUUUUAAAAUAAAACCUGUAGCAUAACUUAAAAAACGCAUUAUCGACAUUCUGAUAAAGUAAUAAUUAUAAAUAAAUAAAAAUACUAUUAUAAACCACAGAUAUCUACCUAAAUAUUUAGUUAUUUCCAAAUAUACUGUGGGAAGAAUUUAUUCUUAUUUACUCGUAUAAUUAAUUAUUGAUAUAGUUUUCAGUUUACAUGAAACCUAUAUAUAGAUGUACUUAUGCGUCUACGGUUUGUUUAAUGUAUGACAUAUUUUAUUUUUAUGGGAAUUUCUAAGCCUAUACAAACUUGAAUAUUGUAUUUAAAGAGCAUGUUUAUUCGUCGAUUUAAUUACUAGAAUAAACAUUCACUGUUAAUACAUUUCAAAACUAGUCAAAUCAAACAUAAUAAUAUAAUACCAUAAAUAUAAAUCCCGUAGAUUCGAUAUAAUUGGUAUGGAUAAACGUAAUCAAAAAUAAUAAUUUAUUUUUGUAAAUAUAGUCGGUGUUCUUUUCACACUGAUUUUUCAUAGAAUCGUAAGUUAAUCGUAAAUCAUAAUGAUGCGUGAUGUAUUUUCGCCGGUGAAAAUGACGUGCCACCGAAAUUCAUGAAUAUGAUAGAAAAAAAAAAUGUUUUGCGUAAUAAUACAUUUCAAUGAACUGGAAAAUGUUAGUCAAAAAAUCGUCGGGCUGUUAAAAAUCUCAGUUAAAUGGCUUCUAUUUUACACCGUUUCAUUAAAUCCCUCGACAAAAGGCUACGAUUUAUCGAAAUAACGGACUACGCCAUGACAACAUAAUAAUAAUUAAUGUGACAACAAUAAUAUUUUAAACGUCAUUUCAAUCAUUGUUGUGUUUUUAACUCUAUCAACAAAUUCAUCGAAAUUCUUCGACUACCUGUAAUCAAUUUGUCCGAAUAAUCAACAAAUUCGUAAUAUGGAAUACGCCAAAAAAUAAAUUAUUUACCUACGUAGUAAGUAGUUAUAAAUGACCCAACAUUAGCCAAAAAAUAUACGCAUAACCGAAAUUGUCUUUAAAAUUAGAAUUAUAUCAUAUCAUCUUAGGUAUCUAUAUACAUAUAUCUACUCGAAAUGGAUAGUUAAAUAAAGUAACGAAAAAUCGACUCACGUAAUGAUCUCAUUAUACGUCAAGGUCUCAUUUGAACAAUAUAUCUCUUAACCAUAGUCUAAUAUACAGUAUACGAGACACGAAUACUUAUCAUUUUAACAUUUACAUUACGGUCUAAUACUUGUAUACUGUAUUAAAUUCAACCAAUAGUAUAAUAUCUAAACUACUUUAUGAAUUUGUCUGUAUCUGUCUGUCUGUAAGAGCUUUAUCUCUCAUAUUAUAUGAGCUCUAUCUCUCAUAUUAUGGUUGAGAAUUCUGAAAUACGGUUUUCACUAAACGAUAAGUUAGGCUUUAAAAUAGGCCUCCAUUGAUUCUCAGUCCAAUCGGUGAUUAUCAAAAGCUUACAUUACUUGGAUACUCUGGUUUGUAUAGGUUUAUUUUAAAUAAAAAUAAUAAAAAAUUAAUAACUAGAAUAUAUUUAUAGAUACCUAUUUCCAAAUACGUUAUAGAUAAUCUAAAUUUUCACUAAAACUAACGAUUAAUAUUACAAAAACCACGGUCUAGCUUAAAAUCAUGAGUUCCACGUAGUACAAACAUUUCUGUGCACGUAUCUAAUCAACUAAUAGCUGAACUUGACUCAAACUCUCCACCUAGAAUCCUUUUUCUAGAAUCAUAACACCCAUCGCACAUAGCUACUUAUAAAAUGUAACAAAAUACUCUCAGUGGAACUUUCAAUAUUUUACAUUAGAUAUUCUAUUAAAUAUAAUGUGUAUUGUUUGUAUUAUACACAUAUUUCUUAACUUAGAUAAAUUGAAACUUAGGUUUUUUGAAAACAAAGAAAUCAUAAUUAUGGGUGGGACAAUAAAUCAUAAUACCUACUCAAAUAUGAUCCGUUCAAAUAAAUCUGCUUUUUUAAAACAUAACAACAAACAAAUAUUGUCAUAAUUGAUUAUUUUGAUUAUAUAAAUAUUAUACUUACUAUAUAUUUUAAAUCGAUGAUUCAAAAAUUAAUAAAUCAGCAAUAAUUUUGGUGUAACAUAUUUCUUAAAAUAAAUUAUAAGUAAAAUAAAAAAAAACUUUUAAACUUUGCUUAUUUUUAAUGUAAUUACAGUUACUUAUAAUAAAGAUAAUAAAAAACUUAAAUUGAUUCACACAUAGUAAACGAUUGAUAAAAAAUAUUGUUUCAGUAAUUCAAAUAUUAUUAUGUUAUGAAUAUUUGCACAUAAAUAUAUUUAGUAAACUAAACAAGAUUUAUUUUAAAUAAUUUAACGAUACUGUUACAAUCAAACAUUUAGUAUUUUUUAGUUUAUACUACUGCGAAGAUAUAUAAAGUAUCCAAUUGAAUCGUUAUUAAAUAUAAGAUGAUUUUGUUUAUUUAUUAAUAAGCUAAUUAGAUGAGUAUACAGGUUAAGGUUAGGUACGUUGUGUAUACUGAAUGGAACAUUUAACUUGUAAACCAAAGAAGAUUACAAAUUACUUAUAUCGUACUUAAAUUUCAGUGAAUUAAAAAACAGUUUUAUCAUUUAUAAUAAACUAUUUUCAAGCAGUACUAUAGGUGGUAAUAUUUUUAAGUGUCUCGGGAAAUAUUUUAUUUUAAUAAUAUUAAAUUAAUUUGUGCCACAGUUGUAAAUGGUAAGUCGGGAAGAUAGGAUACAUACGUUUAUUCAAUUUUAUAUCUGUACUCAAAGAUAAACUAAUUUUAAUGUUUGUACAUAGAUAAAUCAUUUAAAAUAUUUAAUAACUCUCACAUAAAGGACUCUUUUUGUCGAAUUGUCACUGUUUAGUGUUUGUUAUAUCUUUUCCCAACUACUUUUGAAUACUAUUAUUAACUCCUGAACCAAAUAAGCCUAACCUGUGCCUUUAGGGACUUUAACUUUCAAAUCCCUUCCCAUUCAUUUGUAUGCCCAAAUUUCAUAUCUUCACAGCAAAUUCCAAAUUUUAAAUACUCUUACAGACUAAAAUUUAAUAAAACUCUGAAAACCAUAACUAUUUUAGAUCAAUUAUUCAAUUAAUUUUUUUAAAAAAAUUAAAUAUUUAAUAACGAGAACAAGUUGACUGGAAUAAAAUUCGACUAUAGUCAUAGAGCAUUGCUACUAAUAGAUGUUUUAUUCACUAUACCUAUCUAAUACAUACUGAUAUACUACUUGGAUAUAAUUAAUAUAGCAUAACUUGGACGUUUUGACAAUUUAUAUGCGUAUGUUUUGUUUUCGGACUUGUAAGGCUAUUUAACUCCAUCAUAUUAAUUACCAUUAGUAUUUUUGAUAAAACUAUCAUAUUAAACUUAACCCCUUAUAGCUACUAAACAGGUACUUUUUCAAAUGUGUAAAUAUGAGGUAUAUUUGAAAAAACAAUGACAUAUCAGCUAAAUCGUGUAGGCACUAGGCAGUAUCUCAAAAACGCUGAACGCAUUUCACUAACCCUAUAAUUCCAUUAUCCAAUAGAGGUGCAUUAUUUUAAGUUAAAAUUAAAAUUACCAGUAAAUUACAGAAAAUAAUUGAUACAUUUGAUAAAAUAAAUCGAUAAUAUACCCUGUACUCGAUAAAAAAAAACUCAACCGUAUUAUAGAAAAUAAUAUGAUAAUAUAUCGGGGCCAAGGCCUCUUUAAUAAAAUGGUAAUUUUACCUAUUUUCAAAUUUUUUCUUCAGUAUUAAAGUUAAUAGCCGUAACACGAUUAUCAUAAUUAUAGUAUAGCUAAUAAAAUUUACGUUUCAAGGAUCUAAAAAAAUAUACAUUGGAGAUUCAUAAAAAAAAAAAAAAAAAUGAAAAUGAAAAUAAAUACAAAAACAAACGAAAAUAUGUGUCUCCUUAUAAAAAUGGUGAUGCAAAUUUUCUUAACAAUUUUUUUUUCUUUAAUAUCUUCAAAAAAUUUUAAAUGUUAUAAAUUUUAAACUAAAUGGAUUUCUAUAGAACACAUAUUAUAUUUUCUAUCUAUAUUUGUGUAAUUAAAACUGUUAAAAACUAUGAUUGAAAAAAAAAAAGAAUGACACUUUAAAGUAAUGGCAAGAAUAUUAGAUUAAAAUUUAGCCAAUUUAAUUAAAAAAAUGAUUUUCAAAAAAAAAUAAUCAGACCUAUAAAUAAAUCGUUAAGAUACCAAAAAUAUCAAUAUUUUUAUUUACCUGGUAAGUGCGACUCGUUGAAAAAUGGUUUCGCCAUAAUCGUUGUAUUUUCGUUCGAUCUAGAAGAAACAAUUUCAUAUUAUUUAUAUUAUAAAUGUAUUUAUAAUAUAUAUCCUACAAAAUAUUAAGCGCAAUAAUUAUGAAAUAAUAUUUCCAACGAUAGUUUGUUGACGAAUUCGUUUGAAUUCAGUUCAUAAACGAAAUGAAUUCACAUUUAGGUAGAUAUUAAUAUCACUAUGUCAAAAACAAUAUCUCCACGUGGAUUUCUUUAUCAAACAACAUACUGUAUAUAAUGUAUUAUAAUAACAUCUAUAUUCUUUAUUUUUGUUAGAGUAUAAGUAUUUAUAAUGAUACAUUUGUACUGAAUUCAAAUUUUGGAAUAUCAUAUGAUUAAAAUGUUAUGCAAACAAUUCAUGGACAACAUCUUUCACUUUAUAUUCGUUCGUAAACAUAUAGUAUAAAAUAUAAUAAUACGGCAAAAAUGUAGUUUUUAAUAACCUUCAAACAAGUAAAACCGAUUCAAUGGACAAAGUCAUCAUAGACAAGGUUACUAUUAUUUUCAAAAACGGUUUUAUAGUAACAAUCAUUCUAUGUUUGAAGGAUUAAACUAUGUAGUCGCAUUUUAAAUAAUUUUCACUAAAAAAAUUACCAUGGAAUACGUAUUAUUGUCGAAUUUUUAAAUAGUGACACAUUCGGUGAUAAUAUUUAUCCAAAUAAAUAAAAAAUAACCGAAGGCGUUGAUAAAUCGCCUAUAGUAAAAUAUUUCAAAAGGUUUUUAAUUUAAAAAUCUUAAUUUUGUUGCCAUUCUUUUAAGAAUCCUAUACUAUAUUGGGUAGGUACAAGUGAGUAUAGACAUUAGGAUAAUCUGUACUAAUGUUGUAAAAAACAACAAAUUUAGAGCUGAUUCUGGGGACGGGUACAGCCAUUGUUUUAAGUGGGAAAUAGAGAAAGUAAUAUACAUAAAGUUAUUUAAUUUAUAUCUGUACGCAACGAUAAACCGUUGCUAACAAAAGUCAAUUUGGAACAUAGUUCGGUAAGACGUAUUCUAAAAUGCCGUAAUUCUUACGAUUUUCGUCAAAAUUUAAUCUUAAAAAGCUUAUCAAAAUAAACUAAUGCAUUAAACUCAGAUUUGUUUUGUAGACCAUUAAGAAAAACUUAUAAUAUAUCUUGUUAAAUUUUCAAACAUUUCUCUUAAGUCAUAUAAUUUUAAUAACAGAUACCUACCAAAGAAAAAUACAUAUGAUAACAAAAAAAUAUCAAAUACCUGUAAGGUGCUAUACUCUAUACAUCGGAGCAAGAUUUCUAAUCGAAAAGUUGUUUACAAACACGAAAAAAAUAAAGAAAUUAUACAUCAUAGUAAAAUCAAUAAACCCCUCGCUACGCUCCGAAUCUAAAAUCGUCACCAAUAGCUGCAAUAAGUGAUUGAAGUAAAUAAGUUAUAUAAUUUAUAUAAUAUUGGUAUAUGGCAUCAUUUCAUUUAAAUACAUACAUGUGUAUUAAAAUAUGUGCAGUAUAAUCUGCCUUAACGGAUUUUAAUGAAAAAAGGCGAGAUGUGUUUAAUUAAAUUAUAUUGUAUUUUCCCCGUGGACCUUGCCAAGAAUAGCCCCUGAAUAUAAAAUAGAUAUAUCCAAGUAUCUUAACCUGAAUAGGCUCUUUCUAUUAUGAAUGCAAAUAUAUUUCUUCCCAGUGACGGAUAAAAAUCUUAUAGUAAAACCAGAGAAAACCAGUGAAAAUCACCUAAGGGGCGCACUCUGCAGGUUUCCUUUUGGGAGCCUCUGAAACCCAAGUUAUAAUAUGACCGAUUGAUCACAAUUGAUUCUAUUGUUUUUUAAAAAAAAAUAAUUAUUUAUAAUGUGAUGUUAUAUAAUAAUUAUAAUAUUAUAUGAUGUUUUAUCAUUGUAUAUAUUACAUGUUUUAGUAAUUAAAAUACAAUAUUUCACGUCAUAUAUACAAAAUACAAUGAAAUAUGUACACUUGAAUUUGGCUAUAUAAACUCUAAAACCUGCAGUUUUCAACAAGCAUCAUGGCUAAGCAGACACUUUUUAAGGACUUAUUAGUGUCCGUUAUUUGCAGAGUUAACUGUUUUCAACAAUAAAUUAAAUAAACGAUAACAUUUAGACAUUUAACUGUGAGAUGCUGUACGAGAUUUCCGCCAUAACAAAGAAUUAAUAUUGAUUCGUUAAUGUUGGGCCAAAACAUUUUAGCCAUCAACGAAACUAAGAUAUUAAGGAUUCGUGUGAAAGUGAAAAAAUGAUUAAUUGCAUCGUUAUACAUUUAUAAUUUAUAAUCAAUAUUUUAUAUGAAAAAAAAAAAUAAAUCGAAAUCAUUUUUUAAUAUAAUGGUAGAGGUGAAUAGGUGUAAAACGACAUUGUAGUUUUAUAUUUAGUUUCGUACCCACAUAAUUUGAUACAUAAAUAUUCAUAUAGGAUGUAUUUACUUUUAAGAGUCUAAUGUUUGUAUUCAAUUUAUUAUAAUCUAUCAUACAAAUAAAUACUUUUGAAAACCAAAUUACCUUUAAUAUUAUAGGUACCUACUAUAUACAUGAUUCAUACUCGGAAUAUUGGAUUAACCAUUUGUAACUGUAAAAUACAAUUAGUCUAAAAUCAAAUAUUAACAAUAUUCACUGUAUUAUUUUAAUUUGAAAGCCUUAAAACAUAAUGUACCUAUUAAGUAAUUUAUUUACGUUGGUACCAAUAAAAUAAAUCGCAUGUGUAUUAGUGAAUUAAUAAUAUAUAAAAUGUAUUACGAAGACGCUAAUUGAAAAUAAUUAAGAGGAUGUCGUAGUGCGAUAUUUAGUGAAUUAAGUAUAGGCAAUUUUAACAGUGGUUUUGAAAAAAAUACAAUAUUUAUCAAUUAAAAAUAAUACAAACCUACUCAUAUAUUCAAAUAAAUGCACAAAUAUCACGAAUGUUUUUAUCCAUAUCACAACGGUCAACUUUAUACGGAAAAAAUUAUUCGAAUUAAAAAAAAAAACAUAAACCUAUCAGAUUUUAAAACAAUUAUAACUUGUUUGAAGUCAUACAUUUUUUAUACUGAACCAUUAUCAAAAAAAAAUUCUCGUAUGAUGCACAAUAUAUUAUAUUCCUUUUUUAGGUAGGUAAAAUUGUAAUUUUUAAAAUUAUAUAAAACACAAGCAUGAGUGGUUCUUAUCCACGUGAAAUGAUUUUCACUAACAAUUUUUUUAGCAUUCCAUUUCCUCGUGAAUUUAAAUUUAAAUUUAAAUCCAGUAAAAUAAUUGUUUUUGGUCCAAUAAAUUGUUUAAAAUGUAUAUUUUAUUUAUUCUAACAUGGUUGUAUCUUAUAAUACGAUUCUGAAUUCAAUAUAUCUAUAGUAUGUAUUACCGAGUUUCUAGAUUCUAAAUACUUAUUUUAAAUCAUAUUACCCAUAGGCUCCUGAAAGGAGGACCAACAGAGUUAUUCCUCCUCUCCCUGAUGACAGAUCAAUAACUACAUUAAAAAUUAAAAAUAAUUUUUGAGAUUUUCGAAAAAUUAAAUUUUAUGGUUAAAUUAUGUACAAAUUCAAAUAUAAUUUUUUUAAAUUUUUAAGUAUAAUAAAAGACGAUAUUUUUACAUACUUAGAUUUUUCACAAUAUCCUGUAAUGAUACCAACUUUGGUUUCUGAAAUGAAAACCUACACAUUUUAAUGCAAAUUAUCAAUCAAAUGAUAUUUCUGGAAAUGAUGAUAUAUUUUUGAAAUCGAAAUUUUAAUAAAAAGUUGUUGAGUUAUUCUUCUUUAAGUACUGAAAAUAAUGGACUUUUAUUGGGUUUGAAUAAGCAAUUUUUUGUUUUAAAUCAUUUAUCAAAAAUCUGAUUCUAUGAUAUUAUUUGCAUUAAAACAUGUAAGUUCUCAAUUUAAAAACUAAAGUUGGUGUUGCCACAGGAUACACCUUAAAUACUGUGAAAAAUCUAAGUAUUCUAAAAUAUUGUCUUUCAGUAUACACACAAAAUCCAAAAAUCAGAAUUUAGAAUGUAUACAUAAUUUAACCACAAAAAUAAUGUGAACAUGCUUAAAACCUAGUCCUCUAUUCCUCUAUAUGCACGUAUAAAAACUGUAAUUAAUGUGUGAAUAUUAAUGUAUCGAGUACUGAGUAUUCAAAUAAAUAACAAUUAAAAUAUAAAUAUCGAGUAUCUUGUACUGCAAUAUUUGUUACAUAAAUAUUAUCUAUAACCGAGUAUUUAAAAUACUUUCAUUUUAAAAAUCUCGCCCAUCCCUGCAGACACCAUUCAACCACCAUUAUGAACUGCGUAUUAUUACAUGUAUACAAUUCUCACAUUUAAACAUUUCGUUUUUGCCGUAGGUGUGCACUCAAUAGUUCGGUCCGAAACGAGCUUGGUCUACAAACAAAAUGGGACGGAAGUUUGGUGACAUAGCUGACCUGGAUAGUCUCAUCUCACCCGUGUACGCGCUGAGCACAUCAGACGACGUCGGCUGGUUGGGCUACAAAGCGGUGCCCAUCGUCGAACCGAAACCCCGAUCAACGUUUUUCCUAAUUGAUAUUGGCAUCAGUACCAAAACGAUCGACGCCACGUUACACGUACUCGUUAUAUUUCUUGUGUUAUUCAUCAUUAUCAACUGUAUGUGUAAAUUCGUGUGGAUAUUUUUAAAAUAACCAAUUUUAUUUAUGAUUUUUUUUUUUUGUGUUACGUUCAUGUAAUUAUAGACAAUAGACAUAUUAUAAUAAGUAUAUAGAGAAGCGAAAGUUUAUUUGCUUAAUAAUAACUUGUUAUUUUUUUUAAAUGUGUCUGUUUAAUUUAUGUUUAACUUGAAAUGUAAUUAUUGUCCUAUAUAUAUUUAUCAACUAUAUAUUAUUAAGUAUUUAUUAAUUAUUUAUAGUCAUAUUGUCACAUACAUAUAAUAUAGUCGCACUAUUUAAUAUUUUGUAAAAAGAAAAUUGAAUUAAUUCUGUGUAAUACUGUUAAUAUAUGCACAAACAAAAAAACGUUUACAAUAUGUAUUUAAUUAUUUUUGGAAUUAUUAUUUGACCACGAGUUAUACUCAAUACUCAAAAAUUAAACAUAAUUAUUGGUUACAAUAUAAAAAAUCCCAUAAAUCAAGGUUUAAAAUAUAUAUUUAUAUUAUAAAUUAUAAAACAAUAAUAUGUACUUAUUGUCAAUUUACUAAUCACGUUUAUAAUCAUAAAUGCCAUAGUAUUCACUAACUAAACAUCUCUUUUAGGAUCAUCAGUUGAAAUCACUUUCAAAGGUUUGAAAUUUAAAUGCUAAAACACUCAUACAGAAUAUAAAAACUAAUAACUAUGAAUGAUAUAGUAUAAUGACACUGUCAAUCAACCUGUUCAGGGGCCUAAUGCUGGUUUUUCAAAUUAUCUCAAAAUUUGUAAAAUUUUAAAAUUAUUUUCAACAUUUUAAUGACCACCUAAAAUAAGUUGGUAAUGUACCGUAAUAUUUUUCUACCAAUUUCUUUUUUAAAUUCAUAAACUACAACAUGCUACAGACCACAAUAAUCUACGAUUUUCCAUUUGAUGUACAACAAAAAUAAAAGUAAAACAAUUUGAAGUUAAAAAUUACUUACCUAUCUCAAAGUACUUUCUACGUAAUUUUCGGUUUUAGUUAAAUUAUUAAAAAAACUACAAGAAAAUCAAAAAACUACUUUCUUAGUUUCCAACUAGAAAAAAAGUUUAAUAAAAAAGAUCUUUUUUUAUUUUCUAUUGAAACAAUAUUUCUGGUAGAAACCAUCAUGUACACAAAUUAAAAACUAUGAAAACAGUAACACUACGCCACACCGUCAAUAUUUGCCGUUUUAUACUUAUACACUUUCUUUUUCGUUUUUCCCAAUUAUUUCAAAAACUCUUUAGAAAAUUAAAAAAUGACCUCUUCAAUGCACUAAUUAGACCAAUUCUCUUUUCAUAAAAUACACAAUGUACUGAGUAAACAUGUAUAGAAGAUAUUAUUCUAUAUUAUACAUCGGAGCAAGAUUUAAUUUCGAAAAUUUGUUUACAGACAGAAAAAAAUUAUAGGAGUAUUACAUUUUACUUACUAUUAUACCUAAUUUAAGCGAUUCGAAAUUUUAACAAGAUAAUCCGAUUCGUCCAUUAAUUAAUUUUAAAACUGCACCAGCUUAUAACCUUGCUAUAUAUUGAGACUUUCUUAUAAAAGAAAAAUUAAACAUGAAUACUGAUAUUUCUAUAAUUACACUUGAUUAAAUUAAAUAUGUAUACUGCCGAUUUAAGAACGAUAGUGAAGUCAGAAUUGAACGGACUGAUUAAAUUUCAAAAUUAUAACUUUUUAAAGUUCUGAUAUUAUGCGAAUAUUAAAUUUUGUUAAAUAACUAAAUAUUAUCUUCUUUUAAAUAUGUUUGUCAUAGCUAAAUGGUUAGGUUAAGUUAGGUUACACAUACCUAUAUUCAUCCUAGAGUUCACGAGUUCGAACCCGUGUUUCAAAAGAAAAUUUUUUACAUUUUAUUCCACUUUUACCUAAACUAAGAAAAAACAAAUGCAUUUUGGGUGUACCUAGAGACCUAAGCCAUCGCUCACUCGAACUAUUUUAAUCGCGAAUAAUCCUCGAUUUGUUAUGCAAACUUUUUUACCAAAAAUCUUACUCUGAUGUAUCAAGUGUAGCUAAUUUUCUAAAAGGAAAUUUAAUCUCCAUAGUAACUUGAGGAGGUCAUUUUUUGAUUUAUUCCAAAAAUCGUGAAAAACGGAGACAAACGGAAAAAUGUACAAAACACAUAAGUAAAAUAUAACGAUUUUUUUUCUGUAGAAAAUUUUUCUACCAGCAAUUUUGCUCUAAUUUACAAUGAUAGUAAUUUUUCUAAAAGGAAAUUUGUCUAGGGAGGUACUUUAAAAAGGUCAUUUUUGAUUUUCCUAAGAGUUUUCUGAGUAAAUGUGAAAAACCGGGGGGGAGGAAAUGGGAAAACCGGGAAAAAUGCAGGAAAUACGGUAAAAUAUUACACAAAUAUUAUUAAAGAAAAUAUACAAUGUCUAUUUAAUUAUUUUACCAUAAUAUGACAUACAUAUAUAUUGUUGAAAAAGCAUCAUUAUCAAUUGAACUUCGCUCAAAAUCGGUUUUUCGUUAGCAAUGGUUUAUCGUUGCUUACGGAUAUACAUUAAAUUUUCUAUAACAGUGGCUGCAGUCGACCCCAUUAUCUUAGGACGUCUUUUAUAUUUAGUCGCGUUUUAUAUUUUGUCUGUGAUACAUCUGAUGAUGAAUUUUUAAUUCGAAACCGGUCGUAUUAUACAUUUAUCAUAAUAUUCCAGGCAACGCAUUCAUUCAUUUAUUUAUUUUUUAUUUAUAUUUAUAUUUUUAGUUACUAUAUUUAUUUACGAGUAUUAACCAUUUUAAUAAUUUUGUUGUUUUUUUUAUUAUUUUAUUAUUAAUACACACGCAAUUUUAAAAGUAUAUUAAUUUACAAUACAGGUGGCCACGAACUGAAUUGUUGUUUAUUCGGUUUAUUUUAUUAUGAUACAAUUCAAGUACUCACUUUAUAUUUAAUAAUAAACGUAAAAGCAUAGGUGUAUUAUCUAAUGUAUAUUGUGUAUCAUAAAUUGGCUUAAUUUUCUUCAGAAUUAAAAUAGGUAUGCCGCACCCAUGGUCUUCACACGCCUACGAUUUUUAGCCCAUAAAGUAGUAAUUAAAAUAAAACUAUAUUAAUAUAAUAUUAUACCUAUACAGUAUACUGGUUUUACUAGGAUGUAUAUUUUAUUUUUAUUGUUAUAUGAACAACUUUUCAACCGGAAUUCCAAUUAUCUCAACAUCAGGGUUGGUUACAAUGGUAAUACAUUUUUUCAAUUUGGUGCAUUGUGCGAGUGUUUUUUUUUCUUGAUAUUUUCUUAAUACGAAAAACGGAAAUAUUUACGGAACUACGGUUUUUAUUAAUUUCGGUUUAUUUUUUUUAUUGUUGUUCGGUGAAAAAUAAGCUUGACAUUUGUUCAGUUAUUUUUAGCUAUUUGAUACUAUCUAAUUUUUGUAGUUUUUACUUUUUUAAUUUUAUAAAUUUGUGUCAAUUUGGUUGACUUUUCUAAAAAUCACGAAAAUGUUAUAUAAGGUUAGUCAUAAGUUUUUUUUAUGAUGACACUAUUCAUUUAUCUGUAGAUAUACUGUAGAUUACUUUAUAGAACUUUAUUCCAUAUAUUUGAUACUUUCUGUGAAAUAAACGUGAUCUUCUUAAACAUGAUUCGUAAAUCAAUUGAUCUUAUUUAUGCUCUUCGAACUCAUUCACAAGGAUUUGGGAUUUAAAUUGUAUAGUUAUAAUUCAUCUUAUAAUAAUAUUCAUCUUUUCAAAAUAGUGAGGCUGGAAUAUAUUUUGUAAGAUAAAUACUGAUUGCCUUUUUAAUAUACCUACCUACUUCGAUAGAAUAGGUGCCUUUCGUCCUUUUUCUAAAGGAUAUAAGUCCCACACAUUCUGAUAAUAUACUAUAAUAUAGACCCUAGGUAUAUUAAAAAUGUAUUCAAUGAUACCACCUAUUAGUUAUUUAAAAUCACUGAAAACGUAUACAAAUUUACUGAGGAAACUUUAAUACAAAAAUAAUUCAAGUCUGUUAAAAAAAUAAUUAAUUAAGUUAAAAAUACACUCAGAAUCUAAAAAGCCAUGUUAAUUUUGUAAUAUCUGACAUUGCGCUUAUUAUAAAAAAAAAAAAAUUAUAUGUUUGUAAUGCUACGUAACUUUAUUAUUUGUUUUUAAAUCGUACAGAAACUUUGAAAAAAUUCUUUGGCAUUUUUUUUUUAUUUUCAUUCAUGCAUCCUGAAUGUUUAUUGAUUUUAUUUUUUAUUUUUUUCAUUGUCUAAUUCGAUAACAUUUUUUGUACAAUCAGGAAGGAAACUAUUUAUCAAAUGUCAUCGAAACGAAUACAAAACCAUAUAAUGUCAUCAAUUUAAGGAUUAAGUUAUUAAUAGUCAUCUUAGGGCAAAAACUACGCAGCGGCAAUGUUAUAAUAGUCUAAAUACUAUAAAAUCUCCGUCCGGUUAUCGCCUACAGUACAACCGUAGUGGGUAAACAAAUCCAGAAAUAAACGAAUAUUUUACAUUAAAUAAAUUCAACGUUGUUUCAAUGGCAGUCUUUCAGAUGACAGGACAAUUGAUAAUGAGAUUUCCACUUUACUAGUAGUCAAUUUACAAAAUCACGAAAAUAAUAAUAUUAUAUAGGUAUGCAAUAAAAAAGAAAGAGCUGAUACAUCUGACGAGUUUGCCACUGUUGUAGAUGGAAGCUGGGAAAGUAGGAUAGUGUUUUCUUUUUUAAUUAAUGUUUUCUUAUAGAACUUAAAUAAAACGAUAAAAAGACAAUAUAUAUUUUGAUACAUGACUUAUAAUUUAUAAAAGGAAAAAGGCAUAAUAGUUAUGAUUUUGACGGGUGGAGUGGCAUAACCUAACAACGAUGUGUUGUACAGGGAGUACAAAUAUGUUAUCACAUUUACUUAUCAUUGUAACCACUCUAAACCAUAGAGUAAUAUAGAGAGGCCGUAAUGAAAUAAAAUUGAAGCACAAAAUGGUAAUAUUUAACAGUAUUACCACCAAUAAAACUCUAAACUGUAAAACUCUAAUUGGUACCAUAUAUUAUUUUGUACUACGAUUGCACAAGUUUAGUAAAAUAGGGGAAGAUCCAACAUAUCCUACAACCAAAAAAAACGCGCUAUAUCACUAUUAUCGACUAUAGAAAAUCAAAAUUCGAAAUUUAAAUUGGCUUCUAUCACGAUCCCAGAUUAUUUGAAUAAACUGCAAUACCAUGUACAUAGUAUUGCUUACCAAAGGUGCUAGGGGCAAUAAGCUUGUGUUGUGCAAAUGUGGUGAUUAUUAUAGUAAUUAUGUAAUUAUUCAUUAUAAAAUAUAUUCCCUGUAUAUUUUUCCAAACAUUAAAAAAACUGCCUAUCUACAACCCCUGAUAUACGGGAGAUAUAUUCUAAUACAUAAAUAUCUCGUGUCACGGUGAUUGUGGUCGCUCUCCUCCGAAACGGCUCGACCGAUUUUAAUAAAAAAAUGUUUUUGUAUAUUUGGUAUGUAUGAAAAUAGGUCAUAAAGUAUAUUUCACCCUCCACCACCAACCACCAUUUUUUAAUUGCGAUUUUAGUAUUUUUGUAGGAAGUCACGCAGUAAUGAAAUGGUGGUAAUUCAGAUGACCGGUUUUCUUGGCGUGUGAUUAGGCUAUCAGUCAUACAGCCAUUAGUGUUUGUACACGACCACGCGGCGUCGGCGCACAGUGGUCUGAAAUAAAUAUUUAACUUACAUCAAAUCCCAAUUAUGAAGUUUGAUAAAAUUUUAUUUAUAAAUAACAGAAAAAGAAAAAUUACACAUUAUAAUACCUAUAUGAUAUAUUUUAAAAUUUAUUUAAUACUAACUUAUGACUAAAGGCUUUAAACAGAGUGAUCAGUAUUUUAUGUUUCUCCCAUAAAUAUACAAAAAAACAUUUCUGUAACAUAAAAUACCUACAUACAUAAGACAAAAAAAAUGAAAUCUAAAUAAUAAUUGUUUAUUUUCCUUAAAAAAAUAGUUAAUUUAUUUUACCACAUUCUGAGAGAUGGUGUUUUAUUUUGUAUUUUUAAUGUAUAAUCUGUUUUUAAAUUUGUGUAAGAGAAAGUUAUAGAUUUUUUUAAUAAAGUUAUAUGAUUUAUUAAUGAAUUUUGAGAUUCACUACUUUAAAUAUUGAUUUGAAUAUGGUAGAAUUAUAUAAAAAAUAUCUUAAGACUUUUGUUUCAAUUUUCAAUUUUUAUUUACUGAAACUACUAAGAAAACUAAACAUUCCUUAGCAAUACCUAAACUAUCAUUAUUAAUUUCACUCUCCAUAUCCCCUCGACCAUAAUAUUUACCAGUACUUUUAUCAUAUUCCAAAUGUUGGCGUAUAGCCAUUUCAUCCAUUGUUAAUGCACAAAUAAUAUCAUGUUACGAAUUGUUUACUUUUAGUGUAAUUUACAUUAUAUAAUACAAACAUAUUAUAAAUACUUCCAUACUUUACUAAUAUACUUUUUAAAUAUUAAAAAAGUACACUUACAUAUUUGUUUUGGUCAACAACAAUAGAUGGAAAUGCAUGAUUAUGCAAUAAUCUUUUACUUUUAUUUGUAACAAAAUAUGAAUGAGCAAAGUGAAGAGUACAAACCAUACUUAUUUUGGUUACGCUAUUAAGAUUCAAACAGUUUUUAAUUAAAAAGUCAUUUCAUUUACGUUUUAUGAUUUCUUUGGAUGAAAAUCUAAAAUUGCCAUCAUAAUUAAAUAAGUUACCUAUUGAACUAUAUCUCUAAAAUCUUAACCAUACCUGUGAAAAGUGAAAUUAGCAGUUAUAGGGUUUGUGUUACUUGUUUUUCCACAAAUCAUACAGCUAGGCAAUUUAUUUUUUUUACUGAGAUUUAAAAAAAAAAAAUAGAAAUAAUUUAAACUAAUUUUUUUAUAGUAGACAAUAGCCCUCACAAUUCAAAUAAUAAACUAUUAAAAGUAUAACAGACAACCAGUUUUACAAUUUUUUUGUACGAUAUUUUUAUCAUCAAUAAAAUCUAAAAUCAACACUGUAAAAUACAUACAGUUUACGCCUCAAUUUAUGAACAUUGGCGAUAAACAGAACGGCCUCUCUAUAUUACUCUAUGCUCUAAACAUCGAGCUCUUUAAUUUAUUUCUGUAUGCAAUGAUAAAUCAUUGCGAAAUUCGAUUAAACAAAUUUUAAAAUAUCAUUGUUUUUAAAAUUGUCUUUAAAAUUUGAAAUUAGUAAUAAUAUUAGAUAGGUAAAAAAAUUAAACAUAUACUACAUUAAGCUUAAAUUGUUUAAUUGACAACUAAGUAAAAUGUAUAAUAAAUUUCCAAACAUUGUUGAUCGAUUAUUGUAUCAACAUAAAACCAAAUAAAAUUAAAAAUAUAACGUAAUUACUUUAUAUAAACAUAACUAAUUAAAAAAUUUCGAUUUAAUAAUUAUCUAUAAUUUGUUUUUAAUAAUAUUACAACCCCUUUUUUUAAAUAAUUAUUGAAACUGAAACAUAUUAAGUUUUAAGUGAGUUUGUAAUGCGCAUAAAUCACUCUUAACAAUGUGCUAAAUAUGUAAGUCCGUUUUAACCUGUCAAACUUUAGUACCUAGUAUAUAAAUAAUUACAAAAUGGUUCUAAGGAAUUUCUCAGAAAAUAUCUUUCUAAAUGUAUUACAAAUUCACUAAUAUAUUAGCCAAUAGGAUUAGGUAUAAUAUAACUCUUUGUAAUGUGAUAAUCAUUAUAAAUUAUAUCUGUGUAACAAAUCUAAAAUAUAAUAGGUGUUAGUAAAAUAUUUAUAAUCCGUUCGAUAAUAAACAGCCCUAAAAAGCAAAAAAUCGCCUAUUAAAAGAAUGAAAAUUUUAGAUAAAUGAUCUUCCAAAAUAUCAGAAAUCUACAAUUAAGAGCCUUCGUACUAUAUGUUUUUUUUUUUUUUCAAAAACAUACUUAAAAGGAAAAAUACUCAUUCCCCGUAAGGUAAACAUAUUUUAUUUUAUUUUUUUGAAAUAGGAAGAUUUCUAACAAACGCUUUGAAAAUUGGAUUUUAAAAAUAUAAUUAGAACUUGAAUAUAACCAGUGACAAUUAUUUUUUAAACUAAUUUGUUCGUGUCUUUCUACAAUAUACAUUGUAAGAAGCAAGCUUAUCUCUGUUCAACAUAAAAUCAAAAAACAACUUUCUUGUAUCUUUAAGGUAAUUUGGGAAUAUUUGGAACAAGAUUUGUAAUAGAAAACAAAAAUUUAAACAAUUUAAAAUAAUUAAAUUGUUAACGUAAAUAUAAAUAUACAUUUAUUCGUUUUUCCAAUUUUCUCAAUUAUUUUGGAAACUGACCAGAAAAUCAAAAAAAUGACCUUCCAAUGAAGCUAGAUGUAAAAUAAAACUAAUAAAGUAAAAGAUAUCUUAGUAUUUUUAAUUUUUUUUUAUAAAAAAUUUUUUUUUAAAUGGAUCAAUUUUUUUUUGUAGAAAAAUUAUUUACAAAUACAAAAGAACAAAAAAUAAGCACACAUGGUUGUUAUACCAUUAAAUUAAAAAAAUUAUUAAAUUAAUAGUACAUUUUAUAUUGAUCAUUGGCAAUAAUUUACUAAAUAUUACCAAUUAUAAAAUAAUUUUGAUAAACACAUUUUUUUUUUUUUUGUAUCUAAUAUUUAAUGAUAGUAUAUACAAAUUAAAAACUUAUAUAAAAGACAAUCUAGUAAAUUAUCAUCAAAAUAUCCAUUAUUCAGAAAUAUAACUUAUCAUAAACUAAAUACCUCAUAUGCAAUAUAACACUUUUUGAAAUGUAAACUUGCACAUAGUUUCACAUUUUUUUCCUAAGAUUAUUUGGAUUGAAAUGUUAAUAAAAAAUAUAAUUUAUUAUAAAUUAAAAAUUGAUAAAUAUAAAUUAUUAUUAUUCGUCAUUUACAUAUUUAAUAAUCAAUAGUUUUAUAUGAUUUUAGUUUAUAUAUCAUUAGCUGUUCCGCGCCCGGCGUUGCUCGGACCAAUUAGUAUUAUUAUUAUUUUACCCGUAUUCAUUUUUAGUUUUGAUCGUGUCAGAAUAGAAUGAAAACAAAUAGGUGGAACCUUCAGCAAACUAAAUGUGUUCUAUUGUGAAAUUUUAAUAGUGUAAAUAAUAGUAAUAAUAAUAAUUAUAAUAGUUUAAUAAUUAUUAUUUUAUUAUUACUUAUUAUAAAAACCGUUUCGAGUGGAUAAGAAUCACUCGAAAGAAGUAUAGUAUAGUUCUAUAACAAAUUUUCAUCAUAAAAAAGACAAUUGCGAUGCGCAACGUAGUUGUUUUAUUUUUUGGGGGUUAUUUGCACGUAUAUAAAAAAAAUUAUUAUUGUUAAAAUACCUGUUAAUUUUAUUUUAAGCUUAAAUACAUUUUUUCGAAAAUUAGAUUUAUCGAAAAUAUAUCACAAACGGUAAAUGUCUCUAUUUUUUUAUGAUAAAAAUAUUUUGGUUUCUUAAAUAGCCAACGUAUUAAAUGCCCCCGUGAAACUAAAUGUUUUCCUUUUAAGAUUUAUUAGUUUAUUUCAUGAUUACACAAUAAAUAAUCAAGAUAAUGACACGGUAGGAGACUACUUGUAAAUUUAUUCGAAAGUUAAUUAGAAUAUUUCUGAGUUAAUAAAUUUCCAUUUUUUCAAAAAUAUAAUUAAAACUGCCUAUAUGCAAACCCUUAAAUACUAUACUAAAUUUAAGCCUACUCUACAGUUUAUUAUAUGCUUACUUAAAAUUAAAAUAGUUCUUGAGAAUAGGAAUAUUACUAAUUUCAAUUUCCUUUAACGGGAUCGAUACAAAAAUAUAUUUAAUUACUUAACUUACAGAAUUUCUAAUUUAGAUUGGUAAUUGUAAACUAAAAAUGAGUACUGGUUUCUUUUCCAAAAAUGGGGACGACAAAAAAUAUUAAAAAUACAACAUUUUGGAACUACUUCAUAGUUAAAUUUUCUAAAAAUCAAAUUCCGGAAAUAUUUAGUACAUUUCGAGAUAAGAUUAGGUGUCUUUUGUUAUGUUGAUCAUCUUGAAUAGCAUUAUAUAAAUAAUUAUAUUUGUAAAGUUAAUUUAGUUGCCUAUGCCAAUGAAAACGUUCAGAUUACUUAUAACUAUUGUAUUGUAUUCUCUAUUGUAAAUUGUUAUCAGAUUUCGGAUAAAAAAACUCAUACAUUGGAACAUUAUCACUUUUGUAACUAUGAAAUAGAAUAUAUUAUUCCGUAUGUAAAGAAAAACAAUCAUUUCAACUUCAAAGUUUAAACAUAACAAAAACAUAUAUGUUAUUUUAAAUUACUUAACUAUUGACCUAAGCUAACUUCUUAUUGUGUUUAUUUAACAUAUAAUUAUACCUAAUAUAUACUUGGUAAUAUUUGAAAUACAAUGAACAUACCUUUAAAAUGUUAAAACUUGUUAAUUGUUUCCAAAGUUAAAUUACGUUAAUGCAAUUUUCUGUUUGUUUUGUCAUGAUGUUUCAACGAUCAAACCUAAAAUAUAAAAUAUUUUAUUUUAUUUAUUCAUUAAAAUAUAUAUAUAUAUUGGUGACAUUUUAAUAAUAUUUAAUUUUCACAAAAAAUUAUCAAACACCGCAAUAAUUUUACCACGUCUGAAAAGGGCUAGUAUUAAUAUUUUGUAAAAAUUUAAAAUAUCUGAUUAUUUUUAACAAAAAAACAUCAAAAAAUAACAUAAUCGAAAAUAAUGAAAUUGUUAUUGUCGUUAGUUCAUAUUUUCGUUUUUUUCUAUAGGUUUUUUCUUAAUUAUUAAGAAGACUACAAAGAAUAUUACCACCCUAAUCCACAAACUAGAUAUAAUUUCAGAUAAGAUUCUACACUUGAAAAAUGGAGCAAUAUUAAUAUUAAUAUGGAACCAUACAAGUAAAUUUACAAAAAUGUAUGUACAAUGUCAUUAUGUGGCAUAUCACGUGCACUUAUUAAUUUUGACCAUAGUUAAUUGUAUUAAUUAAACAUUUUACUAAAUAUAACUCAGUAUUUAUUUAUGAAAAACUUCAUAAAAGUAAGCAAUGCACAAAUUAGCUUAUAUAAGAUAAAUACUAUUGGGAUAAAUACAAAAAGGUAAACGAAAAAUUUAAUGAAUAUCUAUACGAAAAUGGUCUUCCUAAAGUACCAUUCCAGUCAGUUUCUUUUCAGAAAUAGUGCUUUCAUUGUAAAUCAGAGCGAAAUUGUUGGUAGAAAAUUUGUCACAGAUAAAAAAAUAAAAUUUAAAAAAAACAUCAUUGUAAAACCAAUACAUUCCUCACUCUACUCAAAAUCUAAAAUGUUUAAACAAAAUAGAGAUCAUCAUCAUCAAAUAUUAUUAUGCAGUAUAAGAGCUCAUUAAUAUGAUAAUUUUCAAAAUGAAAAGGAAUAAAAAAUUGGAAUUGGAAACAAGUGUUCCAGGUUGGUACUUUUAAGUGAUUGAGAGAAAGAAGAUCAAUGAAACAAUCAAUAAAACCAGAGAUAAGUUUUUGGAUAGAUAAAAUAUUUAAAACAUGUCUACGAUAUAUUAAGGAUAUGGAAAACAAUAUCAUAAUCCCGAGGCGAACAGGGGACAUUUAACUUAAAACUCGGAAAAGAUAUACAUUUCCGUUGGACACGAUUUAAUGUAUACGUAUCGACUGUUUGUGAAUCUCAAAUAACUGAUCAAUAUUCUAGUAUUUGUAUAAUAAAUGUACAAUAUAGUGACUUAAGCGAAAUAGAAAUCUUUAAUUCAGAACAAUUAUUUUAAAAAUACCUAGUAACUUAGAGCCUAAAAAGAAAUUAUAUUUUUGUGGGUAUUUUAUAAUAUUUAUUAUUAAUGCAUAUAUGUGUACAUACAAUAUACAUAAGUAUAUAUAUAUAUACAUAAAGCAAAUACACAAAAUAUAUUUUUUUAUACAAAAACCUAUUAUAUUGAAAAUGUAUCAUUAUUUUAUACAAAUUAAAAUAAAUUAAGUAUUUCAUAAAAAUUCAAAAACAGAUACUCAUAACAGCCGUAACCCUGAAUUCUAAUACUACUACGUUUUAUUUUAUCAUCUAAAACAUAAAAAUAUAUAAUCUAGUUUUAAUUUUUUGAAGGGCUUAACUCUUGUGAAAAAAUGUUUAGCGAAAAAGACCCUUCUAAUAGAGAUUAACUAAAAAAAUGUAGUUUUACAUUUAUGAAUUAAUCAUCGCUAUUUUAUUUUUAAUAUAUUAUUUAUUUUAUACCAUUUAAUUUUUAAAUUAUCUUAAUAAUUUAAUGUUUUUCUACAGAUUAAUUUUUUCAUCAAUUAAAUUUUUUUUAUGUCAUUUAAAUAGAUCUAUUCAACAAAAAAAAAUCAAUUCUUUUCACAAUUGAUUAUAAUUCGAUUUUGUAUUAUAAUUUGAUUUUGUACCUACAUAAAAAUGGUCGCAAUUUUUAAAUUAAAACUAAAAGGACCUCUUUUUUUUUCACUGCAAUAAUAGAAAAGAGCAUUCGAAAAGCAGUAAAGUCGUUGGGUUUUACAAUAAAUAUCUCGACGACAUUGGUCGGCCACUUUUAUGCGGUUCAGUGGUUACAGUAUGGUAAGAAGAACGAAGUUUUACAGCAAACAAACAAUGCAUGAAAAAAAACAUUUAAAAACAAGAGAAAAUCAAAAUCAAAUGAAUUUCCCGAUUCAUUUUCUGAAAAAAAAGUGUUCAUUGAAUUAUUCAAAACUGGAACAGUCAGUAUAGGUAGUUAAAAAUUCUUUUUGGAUAACUUUUGACAUAUUAAGUUAAUAAAAAUAGAAUAUAAAUAUAACUCAGGUAGUUAUUUCGUUAAAAUUAAAUUACAUAUAAGUUAUACUAGAAUUAUUUGUAAAAAAAACUUUAUUGCAUUAGUUUUUCGAUAAAAAUUACGUACCUCUACGUAAAUUCCAUUAUCACAUAACACGACAUGUCACUUGUUUAUAAUGUACAUUGUAUGUAUAAUAUAUAUGCAAAAUAUUAUUUUUUCUCACCCCUUCCCCUUGUGUCUUUUGUUAAUAACCGCUUCUACAUAAAAUUGCGAAUAAGUUUCCAUAGUUUUCAUGAACAUAUUUCAAUAUAAAAACCUAAAUGUCUUUUCUUUUUUACAUAUUUCAGAUACCUACUAUUCCACUGAAAUAUACUAUACUAAUUUCAAUUAUUUACAAUAUUUAUAUUUUAUAUUUAACACACAUAUUACACUUUGGAAGAUUAAUAAAUAAUUAAAAGAUUUUUCGCCUAUAAAUCGUGUGUCAAUAUGUAUUAUAUUUACCCCCGUCCUUAAAUUGAAAAGCCUACGGCAUAUAUGCAGUGGCAGUAGCAUGUACACAUAGGUUUUAUCAAUUUGUAUGAAAACCAACACUCCACAACAAUUGAAAACUAAAAAUCGUCCCCGGUAAAUGCAUUAGAAGUUUAAACCAAUCAAAUUUAUCAAUAAAAUUAUAAAUACACAUACAGUAUCUGCGGCUAAUUUGAUCAAAAUUAUCCAUUUUGUAACCAAGUAUCCAAAUCACUGAAAAGUCAAAUACUAUUUUACACAUCCACUUAAUAUGGUAUGCCAAUAAUCGUUGUUAUAGUAUUAAUUAUUAUUCAGAAAACUAAUCACAAAAUAAAGUUGCGUUAUGUAACGUAGUUUUAUUAUUUCGUGAUCAUAAAAACAAAAAUAAUUAAUAUUGUUUAAACAACUGAUAAUUGCAUUAUAUUUUUAUACUUUUUAAUAACAGUGAUAUCGAGAACAUUAAAAUAAAGUUGCCCGCAUAAAGUUUCUUAAAUAAAGUUAUAGGCUAUUAUGUAAUUAACUGUAUAUUAUAAUCUUCGAAUAACAUACUAUCUGAGUGUUAUGAUUUUUCGCAAACAUUUUAGUGUAUCUCAUGAUUGUAUAAAUAAAACCUAUGCAAAUUAUACGUAACUACGAACUCUAGUUCGAAUAUUUUUUAGAAAUUUACAUUUUUUGAAAAUUUCCUCCACGCGACACCUUAAAUACUACUAAAAUACUUUUUUAUAGUUAAAGAUAUAAAUAGUUUCAUAGGUUAUAAUCUAUACCUACUAUAAACUUAAGUUCGUUUCGUUUUUUAGUAAAUAUAAUAAGAUAAUCAAAUUAAAUUCUUAUAAUAACAACUGUAUAUUGUAUUCUAUGUAUGAAAAAUAUAAAUUUGAAACGGUGCAAUAGUAUUUUUAAAUUUUACUUGGUUUAACAAGUACAACAUUUAUAAAAAAAUUAAUCAUAUAAACUAUAAAAGUUACAAAAAAAAAAUGUACAACAAUAAUUAUGUAGGUAUAUUAAUAAUAAUAUCUACAUUAUUUUAAAAUAUCAUGAAUUUAAAAUAAUUAUAUAUUGCUUAUAAAUUAAAAUAACCCGAAAAACCUAUACACUAACAUGACAGAUAAUGUUCUUAUGUUUAAAAAUAGUUCAAUUCACUUUAACAUUAAACUGAUAGUACACAAUUUUCCCCAUUAAACACAAAUUUUUUAUACCUAAUAUGAUCUGUCUAUAAAAAAAUUUCACAAAAAUUGCGUACACACAACCCCUUAUAUAAAUGGUUUCAACAUAUAUAUUCACAAAACCGAAAAAGUAAAACAAUUUUAAAUUUUAAAUACUUUAAAUCAAGUUAUCAAAAGAUAUAUAUAUAAUAAUUAUUGAACUAAGUUAAAGUUAAUUUUAAAAUAUAAUUUAAUUUUAUUAACUUAUUGACUCAAUUAAAUUACUAAUUGUUAGAAAAAAAUAACUUAAGUCAAGCUCAAAUGAAAAAAUUACUUUUAACACACUCAUAAACGUAUUUUGUACUUUUUGAUCGAAAAAUAGUGUUAUUAUCUUAGUUUUGAUAUAAUAUAAUAAAGAAUAAUAAGGAAAACAAUCACUAUUGUGACCAGGGGCAAUAUUUUUUAAAAUGUAUACCACACGCAUACUUACAAACUCGUGUACGUACAAUUCGUUACCUUUGCUAGUAUGCAUUCACUAUGUCGUAUCUUCAAACAGCAUACAAGCUAUAUUUAGGAAUUAUUCAUAUGUGUACAACAAGUAUGUAUAAAACAGUAUACAAAUUUAGUCAGUAACACUAAUAUUCAUAAAUUCAUUAUAUGUAUUAUGUUAUCACAGUUUUGGAACGUUUUAGCAGGUGAUCGGAACACUAGAGAUAGUAAAUACUGUUUUCUAUAAUAUUAUUGGUUUUAAAUUCUGAAUAGAGCGAGAAAUAUAUUGGUUUAACUAAGGUAUGUCUCUUUUUUUAAAUCUGUAUUCAAAUUUUCUACUAUGAAUCUUGUUUCAAUAAAAAAUAACAAAGAAAUGUUUUAUUGGAUCUAGUUGGUGUACUAUUACCUGGCUAUUUUUUGAUUUUUCAAGUUUUUUUUGUAAUAAUUGAGAAAAACUCGAGAAAAAAAACAUAUUAAAAACCUCAUAUAUUUACGUUACGAUUUCAAAAUUUUAAUUUUUUCAAUUUUUGUUAUCUUCCAGAAAUCUUAUUCCAAAUUUCAAGCGUAGUAAUUUCCGUGGAGUUUUAAAAUAAUUGGGCAAUCUAGGAGAAAAACAGGAGUUUAAUUAAAAUAACGGUUUCAUUAGGUACCUAUAAUGAAUUGUGUUUUGUUUUUGCUGUAACUCGGUUAGAAAUAAUUGCAGGAAUCUAAAAUUUUCACUGAACACUUAUAUUAGCCUUUUAUAAAUGAUUUUUAAGCUAUUCAUAGGCAUUUUCCAUUCUCAAGUUUUUUCCUCCCGUUUCCACCCCGUACUUAUCACAGUUAAUCGUUGUUGCCCGAUAAUUUAUUUAUUUUAAAGGGUACUUUUUUGCCCGUGACACCCAAAUUAACUAAUAAUAACUGUCUUUUUGUUCAAAGUUACCCAUAAAUCAACACAAAUAAUUCAAUUUUCUUUCCAAUACUACCAUAAUCUUUGCGCCAAUAACCCUCUAGAGGCUGAAUUUUGAAAUAAAAAGUAACCUAUAGCCUUCCUUAAUAAGCGAGCCAUCUAAUCCAAUCAUAUUUUUCAAGUCGAACCAAUAGUUUCUAAGGUUAACGCUUUCAAACAUAAAAACUUUUCAGCUUUAUAUAUUAAUUUAUAGAUACAUAGAUAUUUAGUUAAAUUUUUUUUUUCAUAGGUACAUCAUAUAUUAAACGAACGUUCUAUAACGUCUUGUGAUUGGCAAAAUUGACAAAAAAAAAAAAACAAAAACAAAAACAAAAAUAAUUAUUUACUAAUUCUGAUUAUUUAUUGUCAUGAAAGUGUAGAUUUUCUGAAUUCAUCUAAAUGUAGCGAUUUUUUUAAUCCGGCUCACAUAAUAUAAACAAUAAUACUAUUUUGUGAAUAAAUAACGAACAAUCAAAUAUUUAAAAGUGAUUAAACUACUGAAUUACGUUAUUAAAUGAAAAACCUUGAUAAUUGUUUAAAUUUAAUCAUAGCAGAUACUUAUAGUAGGAAAUAUCUUAAAUUAAUAAAAUUGCUCAUAAAACGUAUACAUAAAUUACCACCAAGUAUCAAGGGAGGAUAGAUGAAUAUUAAUGUUAGCCCGGGAGAAAAUCAACCAUCAUCACGGCCUACUAUGUUAAAAAAACCAGGUAGCCCACUGGAAAAAUCCUUGGUGUUCCGGUGAGCCUAUCUGCUCCUGCUAAGUGUGAUCAGUAGCAACCAAAAGAAAACUACGCAAAUGUUCGUACUUACGUCCUACAUGCUCGAUAAGAGUUGAAAAAUAUGCUUUUUGAAUAUACUACAUAAAAAUCACAAUUUAAAUACACUUGUGGUCGUUCAUUAUUUUUAUGUUCAGUUAAAAUAUAAAGCCCUUGACUUUUUGUAUAAUAUAACGUAAUUCAUGAAUAUUCGUAAUUUUGGUCAAACAAUGCAUAGAUAUACUAUUUUUAUAUGAAAAAAAUCUUAAUUAACUUUUUAGAAAUAACUUGAAUUUUAAUAAUUAAAUAACUAAAUUAGGAUAAAAUUUAUUUUUAAAAUAAACAGGUAUUAGGCAACUAAUUUAUUCUGUAUAACGAUACAUUUUUGUUUAACUAUAGUUAAGUUAAAAGUUAUCAAAAAAUAAUUGUAGCUUGUAUAAUUUAACUUUUGGCUUUUUAAUUGUAUAGAUACUAGCCUCUAACUUUGCGUAUACAUAAUAUAUAUCUACCUACAUAAAAAAAAUUAUAAAAAAAAAACCAAAAAUUACCUUUUUGUGGCACAUCGUCUUGAAUAGGUGAUGGUUUGGUAUCGGUCGCCACGCGUGUGACUACUACGGGGCGGUUUCGACCUAACACUGCCGGCGCGCGACCGUGUGAUUUUUCGGCGAAAACGCAACCGAUGGUUUAACGGUCGGCGGCGGCGUAGAACGGCCGUGCAAAUUCCACGGUGGCGCCUCGUUCUCCUCGGACUUUCGACAUUUCCCAUUUUUACCUCCCCUCGUCGAACGCAACACCGCCGCAACCAUCCCGAGCAUCCUAAAAUCGUGUGACUACGUUUUCUACAUACACUAUUACGAUAACAUAAUAGCAAAACGAUUCUGACGAAAACAAAUUCAAAAAAUUAUAUUUCUUAUAUUACUAUUAUAUCUAUAUACGGGCAAACCUUUUUUACAGAAAUAAUUUAGAAUUUAAAUUAAAUACAUUUACACGUGAAGGAUAUACAUUUCCGCAAAAAAAGAGGUGUCCCGAUUGGUCGACUCCAUUAACCUACGAACUGACUCAUUCGAAAUACAGUUGGUGUUACAUAUUGCAAAAUUAUAAAUAGCGAUCUUGUGACCUACCCAAAUUAGAGUGUACAAGGUAUGGAUCUACGGAGUGUAUGGUCCGUACUCAACAGAAUCCAUACUGGUCUAGGAUGGUGCGAUGCCAUGAUGUUCAAAUGGGGUUUAAAUCCCUGCAUGUAACUGUAAUUUUAACAACCAAACAAUAUACCAUAUUACGAUAGAUUUUCCAGAGAGGAAAUUUAUUCAAGUCAUGUGCAGCGAAUACCGAUGCAUUUAAAUGAAUUCAAGAAUUAGCCUAUGGUAAUCUGUUAAUUAUAACUAUAUAUUCAUUAUUAUAAUUUUUUUUUGUUGUGUUAUGUUUAAUUUAUAUUUUGACUAAUAUUAAUAUUUAUUUUUUUUUUUAUAUUGUUACAGUAAACUUAUCAUAAAAAUUUCACUAACUCUAAAUUUGUAAAUUUGUAAUCAUAUAUUAUUUAUUAAUGUUAUUAAUGUUACCAUACGAAAUAAAUAAACAAAUUGGGAUACAAAAUGAAAUAGUUUAGAAGAUAUAUCGAGGAGAACUUCAAAAAUAAAUAAAAAUGAGAUAGAUGGAGAAUCGUCAUAUCAAACAGUACACCGUUAACACAUUUUAUGUUGGCCUUAUGUCUGCGGUCAAACAAUGAAGAAAGAUUUAGUUGAUUGGCAACAGAUAUACACUAAUGACAAUGUAAUCAUUUCCAGGAUGAGGUACUUUCAAAAUGAAACCAACAAAUCUUGAGAAAUUAUGUAGAACAUUAAAUAAUAGACCCAACGAUUUACCGAGUUUAACUCUGUGUACAGGAGUGAAUAAAAUUAGUAAAAGAAAAUGGAACGCCAGUAAAAUGUUCAUCGCGGAAAAAAAACAGAAUAGAUUAAUAUAUUGGCGAAUAGUUCAAUAAUUCAACAUUGUUUUUACUUAAAAUCGAUAUCACAAAUACAAAAAUAAAUUAUUGUUGUUUUAACAUUUAAUAAUUUCUUGAUAUGUUUUUUUUUAAUUAUUAUUAAUUUUGCACAUAUCACUAAUUCCGAGUGUUAUUAUUUCCGUACUCUUACUUGAGUUUAAUAUGUUAUAUGUUCUCUCUAAUAAGCGUUUGGUUCCUAAAAUUUGGGUUCUUAUAAAUUAUAAACACGUGUUCUGGUAUACAAUUAACGGUAUUAAUUGUCACAAGUGCAUUAAUAACCAAUUAAAAUAGAUUUAAAAAUUAAUUAGUUCGAUAUUUCAGAUUCCACUUUUGAUAAUUAUUGUAGGCAUGAAAUAUUGAUUAUUGUAUUUAUUUGAUUUCUAACAAUUUUAACAAAAAGCGUAAUAAAAAAAAACUAAUAAAAUCAUUUAAAGUUACAAAUUAUGUACAUGGAUUCACUUAUAUUAUUAAAACUACUGCUACAGUAUUAAAUUAAAUAUUAAUUCAUUAACGGUGUACGAAUUUAUUAAUGGUGUAUCGUUACCAGUGGCGUAGCCAUAGGGGUUUUAGGGGUUCAAAACCCCUCUUGACCUAAAAAAUAAAAGGAUACAGAAUUUGUUUUUAUAAUUUAUAUAAAUUUAUAAUUUUUUUAUAUUUAUAAAAUUUAACGUAACUUAUUUUAGGCAACUUUAGAAUGUUUAAAGUUUUAAUACCACAGAAUUGAUUAAAUUAAUAAGAAGUAUUAAUCUAUGAAAUUAUUAUUAUAUAAAUUAUUUGUAAUAGCUUUUUGGUGAGAAAGUGGCUUUAUGUCGUGUAAUACUAUAUUGCCACGUACGAUGUACCUAUCGAUAUCAAUUUUGAUUGCAGAAUGAAGUAAUAACGCAUUAAUACACUAUACACAUUACGUACUACGAAAAUAAAAAUGAAUGCACACUACGGUUAAUUGAUUUUGAGCUUUAAUCAUACUGCUGAGAGUUUAAAACGUUGUCGCUUUGUCAAAAAAUGCAUAGGAAGUUCGUAUAACAAGUAACCCAUUCAUUUUUUAUCUACUUAUAAACUUAUACAAAUACUAGCUACACUUUUCAUAACUACAGCAAGCAGUUCAAAGUAAUUUUCUAAAUUUUAAAGACUGAAGACAUAUUUUAGAAACAUUAUUAUUGGAGAAAAUAGAUUAAACGGUUUAAUAUUACUAAAUAUUCAUCACGAAAUAAUUUUAAUAAUAGAUGAAAUUCUUAAUAACUUUGCGAAAGACUCUAGGAAAAUAAGAUUGCUAUAUCUUAUAAUUUAUAAUGUAAAAGCAAAUAUAUUAAUAUUAUUAUAACUUAAUAAAAAGUUGUUUUAUUUUAUAUUAGACCCGAGCGUAGCAUAUUUUUACUUAUCUAUAAUAAGUCAAUAAGUGUGUACUGCGUUUACAAUAAUAAUUAAGAACAUUAACAUUAACAAUAGGAAUAACUUUAACAUUCACAAAUAUCAUUAUUCGGUUAAUCAAAAAUUUAUUCAAUUAGCAUAAAACUCAGUGGUGUAUUUACAAUUUUACCGCUCUGGAGCAAUAUAUUUUAGAGAUGAGCGAAAAAAAAAAGGUCAUUGAUGCCCACCUCCCCUUUUAGGUGAUUUCUACGCUAUUAAUCGGUACCAACUUUUAAACAACCCUUACAAUAUCUAUAUAACACAUAUUAUUUGAAUACAUUUUCAAUGAUUUCCUUGAAAUUUACUUAUAUGCAACCCCUUCAGCACAGAGUGCCAAGUGGUUUAGGUACUCUUAAAGUCUCAGCAGUUUUAUUUUAUGGUAACUUAUCCAUUGAUUCUUUUUUUUUAUUUUGUUUUUUUUUUUUUACAUGAAAAAUUUUCACCGUCAUCCCUUAUAUAUUAACUCUACACCGUCGUGACCUCACCACAGUAUCGUUUUAUUUACACUUGUUUCACAUAUGUCCUCCGCCGUUGUAUGUACUUAUAUUAUAUUAUGUGCUUUGUGCUUAUAUUAUUUGCGUUCUCUCAUCGUCGAAAUUUGAAAUCACGGCAUGAUCUCCGAUCGAACAACAGGUAUCGGUCCGCUCCUUAACCCCUCCACCGCCUCCCAGUAUAACCACCACACCGUCCUACCUACACUGUACACGAACAUACACGAGUCGCCUACGCUCAAAAACCAUUUCAAAACCUUAAAAUAAAAAACGACGUAGAUUGUCGACAUCAUUCUCUUGUAAAUCGUUUUUCACCCGUACAAUAGAAUAGAUAUAGUAUAUAUAGCUAUACCCAUAGUACUUAUAAGCGAAACCCAAUAUCUUUCACGUUUUUGUUAUUAUUUUUCUUACAAAUAAAUAAUAUCACUCGUUUUAAAAAUAUAAUCAAUUUUCUGUCUUUACUAUUCUUAAGAAAUCAAAAUAAAAUUCUGUAGUACAAUUAUUAUUUUACUAAAUAAUUUAUUAAGUACAUCAAACAAUUUUAAACAACUAUAAACAAAAUUAAUUUUUUAACCACUAUACGUAUGGUAUUAGAUAGUUUAGUAGGUACUUAAAAAGUUUACAUCUAUAUUUCUAUAGGUUUAAUAGGUAUACAUAAACUUUAAAGCACACUAAAUCCCUGGAUCCGUGGCUGGAACUUUGACACGUUGCUAAAAUUUUGGUUUAUCGCACAUCCAAGCACUAUAAUAGUGUAACACCUGGCUUAGUUUAAAACUCACAUAAUAUGUCACUUUUCAUGAUCCAAUUUAGUCUAGGACCCGUUGGUUAUAUAUAUUAUAUUUAAAUAAUUAUUAAAAUCGGUUAUAUCAUAUAACGGUUAAAUGAACAAUAAAGAACAACAAUUUUCCAAUGUUUAUAUUCUGAAAAUUAAAACAAAAACUAAGAAACAGAUUUGUUUACUCCUUAUAAUUUUGUUCUUAGAUAACUAAAUAUACACAAAUCAUGCACAAUUAAUAACAUUAUAACAUAACCUAUUAUUUAUUUUUCAAUUAUUAAAAUCAUAUUACACAAUUACAAUAUGUAACAAUUCGAUUAUCUAUUUAAAUAUGUUAUAAUUAGUAAAAAUUGAUUUUAUCAUCGUAAUAUUUUAAAAAUUGCAUAGGCUUGAAAAGUAUUUCAAUGGCUAUAGUACUUUUGGAUGAUAUCUAAUAUACCUAAUGAAAUAAAAUAUAAUAUCCGCGUUCAGUAAUUUCAUAAAAAAAAAAAAGAGCUGAUAUUGGAGACGGGUGCAGCCACUGUUGUAGGUGGGAAGUUGAGAAGGUAGAACACAUAAGAUUACUUCAUUUAUAUUAAUAAGCAACAAUAAACCAUUGCUUGACGAAAGAUAAUUCUGAGCGCAGUUCGGUAAUACAAAAUUUGAAGUGCUGUAAUUUUUUUUGCGAUUUUUGUUUCAAUUUGAUUUCAACUCUUAUAAAAAAAAUAAAAAAUGUCGUCCGACGAUUUAGGAAAUUUUCCCACGUCUAGGUAAGUUCAAUAUAAGUAUUAUUACCAAGUUACAGGUCUCUACGUGUGUUUAUAACCGAAUUACAGCAAAAACUCCCAAAAAUUAAAAUUCCUUAAAAGCUCAAAAGUAACUCAAAAGUUUUGGCGAUAAUACUGUAAGAAAGUAAAUAAAAAAUACAACAAUCGUAUAGAUCCCCUCAGAAUCUAAAACAUGACAUUUUUAAUAAUUCAUAGUUUUUCUAAUAUUCAUUGUAGGAUAAUAAAUGUUUAAUAAUUGUUAAAUCAUAAAUGUGCAAAUAAUACCUAAAAUAUGGUUACCUGCUUAUUUGAAUAAUUAGCCCGUAAAUAUUAUUACGUGUAAUAUUUCAUCUGCCCAACAUUAAAAACAUUUAAGUAUAAUAAUAUUAAUAAUUAUAUAUUUGAUAUGAUUUUUUUUUUAUAGCACUUACAAGGAAGGGAAGUUAAAUCGACCUCUAGAACCAUCAGAUCUCACAAUCAAUUUUCCAACAAUACGAGUAUUAUCUUCACUCACUUCCAAAAUCGUCCAGUUCGGUCUACCUACUGAAGUUUCCAUAUCCUUUUCAAUUACAUCGUCCCGUCUCAUUUUUUGUCUUUCCAUUAAGUCUUUGCCCUAUCGCGUUCUGUUCUUAAUGUAACAGGUAUUCACUUCUCCACGCAUGUCCAGCCCAUCACAGUCUUCCUUUUUUAAAAAUCUCUAGAAUAUUCUUUUCACUAUACUUGUUUCUAAAUCUCUGUUUUUUCUUCAUCUUCACUCCCUGGUCAUUCUAUCCCUAGUAAUAAAACUUUACUUUCUCAAUUCGUAAUCUAAAUGUUGCUAACAUAUUAACAUAUUGCUGAAUAUACAUUAUGACUAAAUAUCAUCAAAUUAUUCUUAUGAAUUAUAAAUUUAUUUAAAAUUUAGAAAAUGAAUAUUAUUAUAAGUAUAAAAAGAAAACAUAGAGUUUUAAUAAUAUUUUCUAUAUAUGUUUAAUAUUUUUAUCAUUUUAGAGAUUUUAAAGGCAUGUAAAUUAUAAAAUUGUAUAAACUAACAUUAACGGUAUUUUCAUAACUCUUAUGUAAUAUUUGUUUAAAUUGUAAUUUACUCGAACCCCAUUAUAAUAAUUUUUUCAUAUAUACAUUAAACCAAUUAUAUAAAUAUAUUUUCUUAAAUUGAAUUAACAUAAUCAUCUAAAACACUAUAAUGUUUUGUUUGUUUCGACAACAAUUUGACGUACCUACAUAAUACAUUAUAAUUUAUAUUUUAUAGAUUUCUAAUCUUGAAAUCAAAUCGCUUUGCAAAAAUUUUAGAAUAACCAUUAUGUUGUUUAAUUUUCAUGACAUAGCAGAUAUAUAUCAUGUGUUUCCCACGCAUUAUGCUUAUUAUAAAAACAUGCAUUUAGUUCAAUCGGAUUCUGAAGAAAAAACUUCGUUAAAAUUAUACGCGUUACAUAAUUUUUGUUAGCAUAGCAGUUUUUUACUUCGUGUUCAUUCUCAUUAACAUCGACCAACAGUUUCUCUUUAUACGAUAAGCCAUAAUAUAUAAUAAUAACAAACAAUGUCUGGAUCCUAUGGUAAAAAUUUGAUAUUCAUUUUAAGAUAAAAUCUGGUUUUAUGCAGGAAGACGUCAAUGAACUUUUAAAUUCAUUCAUAUCUAUUGGUACCUGUAUUAUCAACUAUGUCACCAAUUUAUAUAAAUAAGUUUAUUGUAGCGAGAUUUCGGGAUAAAUACCGCUUCACAAAAUUUUGAUAUUUAGAAAGUUUAUUUUUCAAAAACUAUACGGAUAUGGUGCAAGAUACUAAAGAGGACCAUUAUAGUCCAUAUUAAUAUUGAUGACCAACAGUCAACAACGGAUUAAAGUUAAAUUAUGACGUAUAAUGGAUUCCCUAACGUCGUAUAUAAUAUCUAUCUCCGUAAAUAGAUUUGUUUUUUUUUUCAAAUUUAUUCAACCUUAUUGCCACUAAAUAAGGUUCUCUCUAACAUUUGAUAGGUAAAAAUAUGUUCUUAUUUACCAAAACUAUCAACGAUCAAUGUAUUCAUAUACCUCAUUACAGUACAGAUAUACCGUACGCAUAAUAAUUUAACAAUUUCCAUUUUCUAUCAAACGGUAAAAAUGAUUAAUAACAUAUUUUCGUAUUCAAAUGUAUCCAACACUAGAGAUAAUAUCUCUAAAAUUCUAUUAUUAAAUGUACGGGGGUAUUGUAUUUUGUUUCUCUUGAAUUGUAAAUUAUUGAAAAUUCAUUAUAAUAAUAUUAAUAAAUAUACAAUUUCUAACAUUGGCUAUACUUCUAUAAUAUUGAAUAUUUAGUAUAUUCUGGACGUAAAUUAAUAAUUUAAAAUUUAAAUAAAAUAGUUAUAUAUAUAAUUAACAUCGAACUAGAAAAAUAAAUCUACUUUACAAAAAAUUAUAACAAAAGUCUUAUAUUCACUUACAUAGAAAAACAUUAUAAAUAUUAUUUAAAUAUAAUAUGCAUCUUAGCGAUCUUAGAAUUUUAGGAAAAGAUACUCAAUGAUAGUAUAAAUAUGUUUAUUAAGGAAAAAAUAAUUAUUACGUAGUAACAUUAUCCAGUAAUAUCAGUAAAUAUUCGAAAUUAAAACCGUUCGUCCUUAAAUAUAUCGAAUAGAUACGAAUAGAUACCUACCUAUUUUUAAAGUAAUAAUCAUUACAAUAAUUUCACUCUAAAAACAUACGCCAACACAAAGUUUGUACGUUUAAUAAACUACCUAUUUACCUAUCAAAUUUACAACAAAAACGAUUUCAUAAAUUAACGGCAUAAAGUUAAUUUACAUAUUAUAUUAUUUUUGUCCUGGUGUUUGAAACAAAAAAAAUAUAUGUAUAUAUUUAUUUUUUUAAUUUAUUACUACAUAUUAUAAUAGCUUCAAGAUUGUUCAAUAUACUAUGAAAAAUGAAAUUAAAAACUACUAUACAACAACAGCUAAGUGCCUAGAUGAAAUCUAUGAAAAUAUAAAAACUAUGGAUGGAAUAAAAUACAUUAUUUACCUACGUAAACACACUAACCUAACACAAAAUAAUACGAAACGUACAAAUUAUGUUAUUAAGAUUUAAGUCACUGUUUCGGUAGUUUCUAUAUUAAACGGACAAAGAGAUACAAAAAUUAGCUAAAAAUACAUUAUGUACACAAUUAGUGCAGUUUAGUGAUGGACACUUCUAAAUAGUUUAUGUUAUCAAUAGUUUUCGAUAAUUUAAAUAACUAUUCGGUUGUGCCCACUACUAGUGUAAGGAUCUGCGUACACAGAAGUCAGGAUUCUGGUUGAUAAAUUAUUCUCAUAAUUAUUUAUAAAUAAAAUAUGUCAUAUGAAAAAAAAAAUUCGUUUAAAUAGCCUAUACACAACCCCUUAAAUAUUACGUAAAUGACAUCUUUAUAACUAUCGGGAUUCUGAAUUGUCAGAAUUUCAGUGUCGAAAUAUUGAACUAAUUUAUUAUUGUGAUUUUACAACCUCUGUAUGAAGGAAGUUUGAAGACCCCACUCCCCUCAAAAUGGAUAUCAAUAUAAAAUUUAAACAUUUGUGUUUAUAGUAGGUAGUUUUAUUUACUAUAUUGAUAAAUAUUUUUACACUUGCUUUUAUACUAACAUGUUAGAGUAAAUAAGUAAAAUCUUGAACAAAAUUUUUAAAUUUAAAUAUUUUUUUAAGUACCUAUAUGAAAAUAUAUCAAAAACCGAUGAUGUGAAUAAAAUAUAAAAUCGAUUAAUACACAACCAUUUCUAUUCAUAAUUUUAGAUUUUCAUAACUUUCAUAUACAAUUUUAUCUUGUAUAACAUAUUAAUUUAAAACAUAAAAUAUUAAGUGCAAAAAACUCAGGCCCAAAUGCUCGAAUAUUAAUGUUUAUAUAAGAUUUAUAUACUAUUAUAAUGUAUUUUAAUUUAAAAGCCGACAUACUUUACCAUCAUGGAUGCGGGUUAUAGACGUAAUGGUGGAAAAAUAAGACACAUUGCUAUUGUGUUUAAAUCAACUGCAUUCAAAAAUAAUUCUAUGUAUCAAACUAAAAAUUUCAAAAAAAAAUUCUCUAUUUAAAAUAUUAAAUGUUAUUUUUAAUGUCAAAAUAUAUAUCUACAAACUUUUGAAAUAUUUUUACUGACCCGAAAAAGGCAUUACAAAACAACAGAUCUUUUUCACUCUUUUCGGGAAACGUAUGCAAAUAAAUACAAAAUAAUACGUAAACGACGUAUACAUUUAAACAUAUUCAGUAAAAACGAUGCAAUAUAAUAGUAUAAUGUAAUAAUAUUAUGUAAACUAGAAGAAUUAUACCCGAUUCGUAUCCACUAAAAAUUAUUAGUGUUGGCGAUGCUAUCAAAUAUACAAAAUAUUUUAAACGAGAUUUCUAUUUUUUAUUUCAAUAACCUAACCUACAAUCAAUAGAGUAAUAAUAUUGUUUUCGAAUUAGUAAAUAGGAAGGUAUAUUACAGACUUCUAAAAACUAAUUUGAAUUUUAAUAAUAUUAAUAUUUAAUAAUAUUACUUAUGUAGACAUUUGUUUACCAAUAAAAUAUUCACAUUUUUUAUGAAUAUACCCAUCUGCCCAAUAUUAAUAUUGUAUAUUAUUAAUUCUAUCCCAAUCACGGGAGAUAUUUGUAUCCGCAUGUGCUGUCUCCAUCUUAGCAAAUUUGUGUUCACGUGGGGCAGCUUUGUGCUGUUAGUUUUAAUAUUAGAGUGACCUAGUUAUAAAUUAAAAGAUAAGAACAUUAUCUGUGAAACGUUUUUUUUUUAUAAUAUUUUAAUUAUUAAUAGAGAUAUGAAUAUGUGAAAUAUCACAAUUUUAUAAUGCUUUUAUCUCACAUGAAAAUUAAAAUAUCAAAAAACAUCACCAAAGUUGCACAGAUAACGUUCUUAUCUUAAAAUUUCAUAAACUUUCUAAUAAUUCACUCAAUAUAUAAAAACUAACAAGACAAAGAUAUCCCGCGUAAACACAAAUUUGCCAGAAUGUCGUACGUUUAUAAGACGGAGACGAUACACGCGGACAUAGCGUCAUCUUAAUUAGUAGAAUUAUCAUUAUUUUAAAAAUAUUAAUUUAUCUUAAAGUCCAUUAAAUAAUUGGUUUGUAAAUAUGUAAUUAUAAAUCGAUGUAUACAGUAUUGUAUUGAAAUAUUUCAAAAAAAAAAAUGUAUUAACCAUAUAGUAUUAUUUUUUUUUUACUAAUAUAAAUCUCCUAACUUACAAAAACUCAAACCGGUUAUAUAGGUACGCUAUUAAUACACCGAUAACCCAAUUAUCCAAUUUAUCUAAAUUUUAACCCCAGACCAGUUUAUUCGGCCUCCGUAAUUUGAAGUCUUUGCUUUAUACCGUCCUUGGUUUACUAACACAAGACUAUUAAAAGCCAUUCUUUUUUUAAAAUAUAUUUCUACGGAUUUACCAAUAAUAUAAUAUUAAAUAUACUCGGAUUAUAAUAUUACACCGUUUAAUACCUACGUUUAAAAGUUCUUAACCAACUUUUUAAGAAAUACAAAUUCAUUUAUUUAACUGUUCACUUUUAUAGAUUUGUAUUAAAUAUUUAAAUGCAUACCAUUGUACAAAAAACACUCUGAUUACCUAUUGUAUAAUAUAUUUUUUUUUAGAAUUUUAUUAAUUGUGCUGAUAAUACUCGUAUGAAUUCCUCAAUAAGGUAAUAAGUAAUAUUUCACCUAUUGAUACAGUGCCGUAUAUAUUAAAGCACCCUGAGACAAAAUAUUUGUUAGCCCCUAUACCUAAUGAAAAAUAGAAAUUAUACUCUUUGUCACCAAAUCAGCACUGUGAAUGUGUUUUUGAAAGAAUAAUUAAGUCUUAUUUAUUUAUUUAUUUUUUUUUUUUUUGUAAAUGAUUAACACAUUUAUGAAAAUAUGAAAUUCUUUGUAUAGUAACUGUUUUGUACAAUAGACAUAUAGACUUCCCAAAAAAAUGUACACCCCAAUGUAACUGCCUCGGUUACCCGUACGGAGCUACGCUUCUGAAUUUUUACUAUGACGCGUAUGUAAACUGUUUAAUUUACAUUUUUUCAAGUACUAAAAUUGUAAAUUAUGUAAAAUGAGUUGAUUUUUAAAACAAUUAAAAUAUAGUAUAAUAAAUGUUAAAUUUAUUAAUAAAUUUAUAUACAACAACAAAUUAAAGAAAGUUGGCACCAAAUGAUUACGACUUUUUUGUUUUUACGAUUAUAAUUACCGACAUUAAAAUUUCGAACAUAUUUAACAACACAAAUUGUGACAACGCUAAUAUAAAUUUUAGCUAACUUACCUAACUUUCUGAAUUAAAGAAAGAAAAAACAAAAUUUCAAUUUUUAUUUAUCGAAAAUUAAAUUUUGUAAAUUUGUUCGUUUUAAUAUCAUUUUCGAUGUUUUUACCCCGUUAUUCAAAAAAUUACAAAUAUUACGAAAUAAUGAUUUUUUAAAUCAUAUAUAAACGCACUUCGCUCGGAAUUAUUUUUCUUUAGCAAUAUUUUAUCAUUAUUUACCGAUAUAAAUUAAAUAAAUUUAUGUGUCCUAUCUUUCCAACUUCCCACCUAUAAUAGUAGUACCUAUCAGCGAUAUCAGCACUUUGUUCUAUUAGUUUUACUAUGAUUAAUGUUUUUUAACUAUACAAAAUUGACUACAAAAGCUCUUUUUCCCUGGGAUCAAAAUAUAUAGUCAUUAGGUUAGGUUUAAAUUCAUAAAUCGAUCGAUUCAACGAGGUCGUAUUCAUAUGUAGUACAAGAGUAUUACGAUAGAUAAACCGUAAUAAUUAUAUUUUUUUAAGUUUCUAACAAAUAAAUCCCAAUUCCUCCAUCAUCAUCGUUGAUCGGCCAUCGCAUAAAAAUAUAGGUAGGACGAUUUAUUCUUGUAGGUAUAACCGUAUAGGUAUAUAGGUAUACCUGUAUUGGAAAUUGUGUAUGACAAAAAAUAAAAAUAAUAAUAAUCUUUUUUAUGAUCUCGGGAAGAUCAUUUCAUAUCCGCUGCUAAAAUUGGCCAUUAAAUAAGGCGGUAUGCUCAUUGAGUGCUUACGGAGCACGCAUAAUCCGUAAGUUAUUAUUAUUACUAUAAUAUGAUGGUUUUUGUAGGAGUAUUAUAAUAAACGUGGUAAGUGCGUGUGAGCGUACCAAACGACGACGGCGACGGCGGUCCCCACGUACCUAUAGAUCGUGUAUACAGUGUGAUUCAUUUAUCGACGUGAACAAAUCCGGUUCGUCUGUAUGCAUAAACGAAUAUUUCGAAUGGAUUUAUAGACAAACAAAUAGAAAAGAGAAUAAGUGUAGCAGAGAUGAGAAUGCUUGGGUGGAUUAGUGGAGUGACGAGAGAAAAUAGGAUAAGGAACGAGUACAUAAAAGGUAGUUUAAAUGUGGCUUCGCUAGUGGACAAAUUGAGAAAAAAUGGACUGGGGUGGUUUAGGCAUGUCAUAAGCAGAAAAGAAUCAGAAGCUGUAGAAUUAUAAUGAAAAUAGACGAAGGAGGAAGACCGAAAAAGAGAUAGUUAGAUGUGAUCUACGAGGACGGGGAUUGUAUGCGAGUACAAUUUGGGGGAUCGGGUCAAGUAUAAGUUUAGGAUAAAGGUAGCCGACCCCCAAUAGUUGGGAUGAAAGCAAAGGAGAAGAAGAAGAAAAAUAAGAUCUCGAAUGGGCUUAUAUUACAAAGAGAUGUUUUUUUUUUCCAGAAGAUACUUUUAUGGUUAAUAAUAAUACUCCGAUUUUCAUGUCAUGUUCAAUAUUCCUUUUCGGAUACAUCUCUUUUUAUUUUUUUUUUUUUCGUGAAAACACUUGAUAAUGUUCCGAUUUGUUCACGUGUUUCUUCAAAAGAUACAAAAUUGUUGUCCGGCAAUACAUUAUUCGAUACAUGCAUAAAUAUUUUCAGCAGUUUAUUCCCUAUAAGUUGCCAUUUUUGGGGGCUUUUUGAUUUUCUUAUUAACCUCGGGGGACAUCCAUGAAGUGAGAAGGUUAGGGGUUAUCUCAUCCUAACUUGACUUAAAAACACUGUGAGUAUUUAUUAGGGGAAUUAAAUCUGAAAAAUCAUAUACUGCAACCAAGUCGCAAGAAAAAGCUUGAUUUAUUAAGGGUUGGCUUUUUUUGGAGGCAGCUAUUAUAAUUUCCCAAUAUCUAGUUGAGUAUAGAAGUUGAGAAGAUAUUUUACGAUUUAUUCGCGGUUUUGUUAUUUUCCGCCUAAACGCCCUCCCGUUUGAAUAUUUCUGGUCACUACACGCUGUUUUUUUUUUCUGACCGUGUACUUUUAUUACGGGCGUUUGGUUUCGACGCGAUGACGUUAAACGAAGCACGGUGUAUUUUUUUCGUUUUGGUGCACGCUCGCGUCCGUCCGACCGACCAAUUUUUCUUCUCUUAUUAGGUUGAUACCUAUACAAUAUAUUAUUAUGUGUACGCAAUAAAGAAUCGUAUGUGACCGCAGUGGUUAAAUAUAUUAUUGUGCGCGCGCCCGCGUAUGUAUAAAUAAUAAAACAAAGUGGAAAAAAAAAAAAACGAGCGGCGGCGUAAUCCGAAAAAUAUUGUAAAAUCUCCGGCGGCGGCGACAACGACGACGACGGCCGUAGACCCGGGCGACCGUCGAGGGCGGCGGCGGCGGUGACGUUUAGCCGGUCAAACCAGUUUUCUCUGCGGGCCGGACGACGGACACCCCGUGCAACCGGAGCGCGGACAUUAUACGUGUACCCGAUCAGGCGACGGCGGCGGCGCGGUGGCGGUGUUCAGCAUCCGACGACGCUGACGCCGCGUCACGGGCUCCCGAGACGACGGCCGACUGCACGACUGCGGCGGCCGGCCAGUUGCUCCGGUUAGGUUCUAUUUUUAUUACGCGCGGACGUUCCAGUGAUUCCCAAACAACGUGCAACCGCCGCCGCCAGUGAUCGACCGUCGAUCCUGACCGGUGCAGUAGUGUAUAUUAUUUACGGCGUACCGAUUUUCUAUUUCUCCGUACCAAAAUGCUUGCACUCGAAUCAAACGGUUUAGAAUAUUAUUUUCAAUAAACACUUAAAGACUGCAGUCUUACUAAAUACGCGAAAAUCGAAAUUCGUUACAGAAUACUGCAUAUUAUUUUCGACACGGAACUUUACAGGCACAUGAGAAUAUAUGCAAAGAUUCAGAGUUGAAUUUUGGAAGGGGGGGCUAUUUAAUGUAUAUCUAUAAGCACCGAUAAACCGUUGCUAACUUUUUUUUUUAUUGAAGUAAGAUUUCUGGCAAAAACAAAAUAAAAAAAUAAAAAUACAUCAUAAAAUACAAUCAACACACCCAUCAUUCCGCUUCGAUUUUCUUCUAUGAAAAUCUUGUAUUAAAUAUUAAUUAUUUGUGGAAGUAAAACCCUUUGUACAUUCUAUAGUCUGGGAGGGCCGAGGUUUCUGGAUCCCCCUCUAGAUCAGCCAAUGAUUGCUGAACUCCUGAUGAGUGAUUAUUCUCAACUUCAAACAAAAAUAAAAUCAUUCCUUAGGAAUAAUGUAUAAAAGAAUUAAACGUGCGUUAUAAUUGUGCAUAAGUCACAAAAAUGUAUUUAAUUUAUUUCAAACUAUUUUUGAAAUUUGUAUUUGUAGCGAGGACGGUAACGGUAACAACAAAAUUUGCUCAUAGUUUCAUACAGACAAUUGUCUAUUAACUUCAUAGACCUAAUGGAUAAGCAAUGUCGUCUUGUUACUGCUACAUAGAGAUAAUAAUAGACAAAGUUAUCAAUUUGACAAAUUUGGCCCUUCUAAAAAAAUUGCAUACUACAUAUCUACCCACGCGACCCCUUCACAAGAAAAUUCUUUAUACACUUCUGCGGUGAACGGCUAACAUAGAUACCUAUAUUAGUUAUAAAUGAGUUAGAAAAAUAAUAUAGUUCACUAUUCUGGAUAAGGAAUAGUAUUCUAUAAACAAAAUGCUAACACUAUAUAAUAACGGAAUUCCGAGAACGCAGAACGCUAUUUGCUAUUUUUUUUGCUAUUAAAAUAGCAAUACAAAAUAUCACCAUCCUAACGGAUGAAUUUUAAAAUCCUGAAUUUAAGCGUCAAGUCUAUAUAAUUCGAUAUUGGUUAACUUGGCUGCACUGACGAUGCGUCGUUUUAACGAUUUAAAUAAUUAUGAAUUAUUCGGUUAACUCUUUUUAUUUUUCAAAUAAAAUUGUUCUCCGGGAGAAAUGCAAAAUCGGCGUUCCGGCUUUUUAUUCCGCGUACCUUUAGUCGCCGACGCAGCCGUUUAUUUAUUAUAAUACAUUUAUGAUGCGGGUAUUGUUUUUUCGUCGUCGGCCGGCGACUUAAUCGACAGGCUCAAAGAUGUUUAGAAGACUUUAGAGAAUGUCUGCAGUACCCGUAGGUACGCGCGCGCGCAUACACCGCAGCAACAUAAUAAUAUUACAGGUAGGUACCUAUAAUACCCAUACUAUAUAUUGUAGUGUAACGACGACGACCUUGAGCCACAAAAAGCACCACGCGUAUAAUACCUACACCAGCCUCAUCCGAACCACGACGCGUCGUCGGUCGGCGGGAUACCCGACGGAAUAAUAAUAUUUAGAUAUGCUUUAUUAUUACGUUCACCCUCUGGGCGAACGGUUUAAAAAAUUACGCACCGUACGUAUACGCGUCACUCACUCUGGAUCGGCGUGCACCUGAAUAUACAUACUUAUAAUAUUAAUAUCGUGUAUAGGUGCCUGUAAUAUUAGUGCGCGGGGACGUGUUAUUUUCGUCCAUAUAAAAUUUAACAAAAAAAAACCGAAAUGCUACCGAGUGAUUAUUAUUAUUGUAUUGCACUAUAAAAUGGGUACCUAUACAUGGCUAUAGGUGUAAUUAAUAACUGCAUAAAUAUUACGCGAUGACCAGGUGACUUGAUCGAUUGCGCGGUUAACCGUUUUCCAAAUGCACUAUAUAAAAAAGACGGAUACGUGUUUCGCACGAUUGAUGGGCUACUGUUGUAUAGGUGAGAAGUUGGAGAGAUAGGACAUAUAUGGGAAUUUAAUGUAUAUCUGUACCUGACGAUUAAUCAUUGCUGACGAAAAACUAUUCUGAUCGGAGUUCGAUUAUACAUGUAUUGAAAGGCCGUAAUAUUUACGAUUUCCGUCGAAAUUUGAUCUUUUUGAUUCUUUUAAAAAAAAAAUUCUAUAUUAUACACUAUUUUUUUUUUUUUUUUUUUUUUGUUUUCACCACAAAAUACGACUUAUAAUGAACCUCAUGUUAAAUUUCCAUGCAUUUCUAUCAAAUCUAACUAUUUUAUUAACAGACUAUCAACUAAAAAUUACGUAAAAAGCUUACAAAAUUAAAAUAUCUAUAAAUAGCUCAAAAAUAACACAAAUGUUUUGAAAAUUUUACCACAAUUAAAAAAGGCAAAUAUAAGUUUUCUUUAUAAAUGUUAAGUCUCUACAAAUAUUUUAAACUGAAUUACAACAAUAAAACAAGAUUGAAAAUAAUAAAAUCCGUAAAUUUCCCGUUUUUACCGAUUUUUCUCAAUUAUUAUGAAAACCGCUUGAAAAAUCAAAAAAAUAACCUCUAUAAAGCAUCGCAUAGAUCAAAUUUCCUUUCAGAAAAGGUAUUAGACUAGAAAAUUGAAAAAAGAUAUCUGGUAGAAAUUUUGUACAUAGUAUAAAAAAAUAAUCAUUGUAAAACCUGGAAUACUCUCCUCGUUUAGAUAGUUUAAAACGAAAGUAUUAAAACCGUAUUAAUUGUAAUAUAACUAUAAUUAAGGACGCGACGUCAUAAUACACAUUAUGUUAUAUGGCUUUAACAAAUUAUCUAAUUUUAAAUUAGAUAAUUUCAAAUGUUCGUUCAUUAAAUCAAGUUUUUUGCUGUUGAUUUUAAUAGAUAUUUAAUAGAAUAGAUUGGCUUAUUAUCGAGCAUAAAGCUAAGAAUACUAUAUAUGUGUCUGUACAUCGAUUUUUUCUCGAUAUUUUAAUUUUCAAGCGAAUUACAAAGAUUUUUUUUUUUAAAUUUUAAUAUUACGCAAUAUACUAGUGUUUCACUUAGAAACUAAACGGAAUAAUAUGUUUAUGUGUGUAAUUAAUAUAUACCAUAUCCAUACUUAAACAUUUCGAAAAAUCUUAACCCGUAUUUUUUGUAUAAACACUUCAAAUCUAAAAAAAAAAUGUCUUAUAAAUCAAAUUGUUAAAUAAUUAAUCAGAAUUUACUAUUAGAGCAGAUUUUAUUGACUAACUAGCAAGUAUAGGAUGAAAACCGAUAUACGGCGAUUUAGUUCAUACUAUAGUCAUUAUUGUAUCCCGUCAGUAAUUUUUGAGUAGUCAUCCAGUGCUUAGAUGUUAUUAUCUCCUCUAUAAUAAAAAUAAUACAUUUAUUAUGAAUGUGCGUUUGUAUUUUAUACUGUACAGUUAAUAAAUAAAACAAUUUCAAUUUUACAAAUUACAAUUGUAUAAGGUAUUGAUAAGUCAAUACUUAUCGAUGCAUAUAUAAUAAAAUAUAUACUAAAAUAAUUGUUAUAUAAUAUUAUUACUUUAUAUGGUAGAUUUACUUUAGAUAAAAAGCCUACAGAAAUAAUGCAGUAACAACUAUAGCACAGUGAUUAAUUCAAAUUAUAACUUUUAAAACUAAAUUACAGAUCAAUCCGUUCACACAAAUGAUUUCUAAAUGGAUUCGGCUUAAUCAGAGCUUGGAACGAACGAAUUCAAUAGAAAUCACUCUUUUGAUUUCAUUUAUUUUUCAGGAAUUUAUCGAGAACAGAUCUGUGAAGGAACGUAUUGGAAUUUCGUAAUUUAUUGAAGGAACAUGAACAAUUUGCACACCUAAUUUUAAUAAUUGUAAUAACCCUAAACAUUUUUUUUUUAACAUUUAUUAAUAAUAUAUGAUUUUUUUAUGUGUGACCCAAGUGAAGGAUACCCGCAAAUUAGGCAUUACGGAAUCAAUAUUAUAUUAAAAUUGAAUAACAAAAAAAUACAAAAAUGUUUCUUUGUUAAAAACGAGAAAAGGAACUAGUCCCUUUCUUCAAUCGUGAAAUGGGCCUGGAAUGUGAACUAAGUCCUUUUUGAAAAGAACUUUUCAAGCACUGAAUUAUACUAGUUUUAAUACAAGGCGUUGUAUAAAAUGUUAUACAAAAUUAUUAAUAAGCAUUAUUUUAAAGUGUAAAAUUCACAAAUUAUAAAAAUAAAUAUGACACGACCUUAUAUUAAAAACUACUAAUUGGUCAUAAUUCAUGUAUAUAAUAUGUAUAGAUUAGGUUUAUAUUGGUUGUACAACUGUACAUGUAUAAAAUAAACAUUCUCUAUUAAAUAGUUUAAAAGUUACACAAUAAUAAAAUAGAAACAUAUAUUAUUGUUCGUUAUUUUAACUUAGUAAUAACUUUAAAAUAACCCCUUCCUCCCUAAAAAAAAAAAAAAAUCAAUUUAUCAAAUACCUAAUUAUACUUUUUACUUAAACCCCGAAAUCCACUAAAGUAAAUAUAAAACAAUCAGACAUAAUUCACACCAUGCAUUAUAAACCAUUAUUAAAGGAGGGAAGUUUGGAAGCAAUAAGACAUAAUUUGUUAGCAAAACUUUAAGGAAUCUAAAUUUUUUCUUCUAAUGAAAGUGAAGAAUCCGUCUCCUUUAAGAUACAUCAUAACAAAUCGGAACUUUUUUACUAACCAAUUAAAUAUUUUUGUGGGGUAAAGCCAGAUAUUAGUAAAACUAAUAAAGCUUAAUCACUAAUCAGAAUCUAAAAUAAAUAAUAUAAUAUUUUAACAUCAAUGGUUGUAAGUACUUAUACUUAAUAAUUGUAUAUCAAUUGAUUAUAUUAAUCACUAUAUUAUAAUCACCUAUAAUUUCAACAAAUUUUAGAACUUUUCUUUUGUCUACACAUACGUUAUUAUAAAUAGUAACAUAUACAGAAAUUUAGCAUAUUUUUUAAAACAUAUUUAAAAUAUUUUAUUUGUAUUCUAUAACUAUAGUAUCUUAUACGAACAUAUAGAUGUACAAGAUAAUAUAUGGUAUCAUACAACGUAUACAUUAUAGAAUACUGGUUAUAUUGUUUCGAAUAUGGACAACAUUCCGAACAGCUUGUACUAACUCCCUUCUUUUGUAACACACAUUUAUCUCAAACUGAAAAUAAAGUUUUGCCAAUAGAGAGGAAUAUAAAUUCCUAUUUUUAAAUUCUGAAUAUAACGACGAAGCUAUUAGUUUUACAAAGAUUUUGUUUCUCCCAAAACACUUUUUACAGUUAGUAAAAAUUCUAUGAUUGAUUUAUAUCAUACCUAAGAAAAGCAAAAUUUUCGCUUUAAGGAACUUUAUUUGAACAAUAUUUCGAAAUUUCCAAUUUUUUUUCCAAACAGUUUCUUUAAAUGUUUUCUGUUUUUGUUUAAAACUCUUUUAGUUAGGCAAAUAUUCCGACUUUUUUCACUCAGCAUCUCAAAAAAUACAGUUUUUUUGUUUGGGAAUAUUUUAUUUAUAACAUUUAUCUAAAUUUUAAUAAAUUUACCCUCUAUAAGUCUUUUUUUUAUUUCUAAUGAUUUAUCGUUGCAUACAGUAUAUAAAAUAAAUAAAUCUACCUUCCUAACUACUCACCUACAACAAAUAGCCUACCCGUGAUAAAUAUAAUUUUGUUAUCCAAUUGAAUUUUUAUGAAAUUCGCCCGUGCAAAAAUUCAUGAAAUAGGUACAAAGAUACAGCUAUAAUAUUAUACGUCGUGCAAGUACUUUCCGCGAAUAUUUCUGUAAUAAUUUCGGCCUCUUUCUGAUAUGGGUGCACUAUUUCUCAAUCGCCUAAUCGCUGUAAAUAACUCGAGCUUACCCUAAACUAACCGAACCUAAUCUAACCAAUAACCGCACAAAUCGUAUUUAUCUAUUUAUUAAAAAACCAAUUUUAAUAUCCAUUCUUAUAUUUUGAUGAAAAUUGUAUGAUAUUUUUGCUCACAAACAAAUGAAAAUUGGUAGGUAUAGUAUAACUUUACAUAGAUAAACUAACAAAUAUUAUAUUUACGAUAUUUAUAUGUUCUCAUGUACGAGUACCUAUACCUAUAAAUACUUGAGUAACUUAACCUAAUUUAGUAUAUAAAAAUAUAAAUAAGUGUACCUAAAUACUACACAUGAAGUAAUUUAUUUAACAAAAUUAUAUGAUAUAUAGUAAGUUAUAAUUAUUAUGGCUGGUGUUUAGUGUAGAUUGAAGUAAAAUAAAACGUAAUUUCGAACUAUAUUUUAACCAUUUUUUGGGUAGGAAAUAAUCAUAUUAAGUUUAUUAAGGUUAGCCUAACCUAGUUAAAUUAGGUUUAAAGUUUGGUCCUCUAAUCGUUUUGCUAACCUAUAACUAACUAGCAUUAAGUCAAUAUAGUAUACAAAUUAUUUUUUAAUUUGAAUUUGAAAGGAAUGCUAAUGCCUAUAAGUAUUCAGUGAACAUAUUAUAUUCUUAUUUCUUAUAUAAUUAAAACCAAAACCAAAAUCGACCAAAAACCACCGGUGCAUAUAACUUAUAUUUAAACGUAUAAUAUAAGUAAAAGUUGUAAAAACCUACCCUAAACCCUCAAAUCUAAACUAAAAAAAAAAAACAACGAUAUCAUCAACUAUUUUAAACAUCAAGAAAUAGGUUUAAGAUGAAAUAUAAAUUAGUUAUUUUUUUUUUCUUUCAGAACUCUUUUUACAAACAAUUGCACAAAAAGGGAAAAAUAUUUUACGUUUCAUUUUUCCGCCUAAAUUGGAAAAGAUACAUACACGAUAUACAUACACUUAGUUUUUCUUUUUCUAUAAAGUAAUUGUACAAAUUCCAAAAAAUUGCAAUCAAAUUUUCAUGCAGCAUAUCGUUUGGUUGAAAAAUUUCAAUUUAGAAAUAUGUACUUAUAGUAACAAAAUAAAAAUGAAUAUAUAUAUAUAUAGACCCUUACAUCAUAGAUCUACGUGACCAUGCAAUAAAAUAAAAUAUAAUAUAGUGAAAAUUGUAGAUUUUAUAAUAAAUUUAUGUAUCCAAUAGAUCUACUCGUUGUAACUGUUAUAUUCCUGAUUGUUUAAAUUUCCCAGAUAGACAUCUCGAUGAAUUUUGGUUUCCAUUAAUUAACGUUCGAUCGAGCAAAAAAAAAAAAAACGACAUUGGAUGACAAAAAAUAUAUCCGGUUCAGGAUUUAUUGGUCUGAAGUCGAAGACCUUUAAAAGUAUAAAGAAAGAAAGAAAUAGAGAUAAAAAAAAAAACUAUCGAAUCGUGUAUAAUUUAAUAGAUGUAUAGUACUCAAGGACGCCUAUGUAAUAAUUAUUAUUGUUAUAGAACGUUUGUUAGUUGCACAGCAUCCGCGUACCUACUAAGAGUCAGUGUUUGGAUGCCAAAUUAAAUAACCAAUUGUUCAAGCCGUAUAAUUUUUGGAUUAUACAAAACUAUAACUAUAUUCAUAUAGGUUCUGAGUGGUAAAAUGGAUAUAUUAUAAUCAAUGUCUUUUCAACAUAAGAUUAUAGAGUGGCGUUUAUAGUAUCAUGCAGAUACAUACCAACCCUAUAUCUGUGCUGGUAUUUUAUCUAUUAUUUUAACCUAGGUAUAUUAGAUAUACAUAUUUGGUAACAAAAUAUUUAUUUAGCGAAACUCUCUUUUUUAACUAUUUGUUACUACGAAAAAUAUAUUCUAUAAUUUAAAAUCUUAACACUCAAACAUUGGCGAAUAUUAUUUCAGAAAUAUACAUAUUAAGAAGACGCCACAUUCGCAUCUACUGUCUCAGUCUAACGGAUAACAUAACAAAAUUACAUUACAUAUUUUUGAAGACUGUGCAUAGUUAUUUUUUAAAACAUUUUUAUAAAAAUAAGUAAGAGCUAUUAAAAAAAAAACAAAAAACUAACAUGGCUAUAAGUUUUUUGUUACAAUCAUUUUUUAUAAAAUAACUACAAUCUUUGAAAAUAUUCUCUUCAUUAAAUUUGGUUAUUUGUGUUUGAACUCUAAUUUCAACCAAAACGCCACAAUUUACGUUCUCAGUAAUUUAAUUUUGCUUUAAUUACCGUUGGUUAAACUGAGAUAGUAGAUAACACCUAUAAAUAUUACAUAUUAUAUAUUUAUUGUUUUACUAGAAAUUACAUCUACUGCAGGAGUUCUUUUAUUUUAAAAUUUAAAACUUAAAUAUUACAUUUAAAAAACAAUUUAAAAUAAUUGCAUAGGUAGCAGAACAGUAAUUGGUUUCUUUUUAGUUUAUUUUAGAUAAUAUGUAUAGGUACCUACGUAAAAUUUAAACGUAUUUAUACAUGAACCUACUAUAAAAUAUACUAGACUUAAUUUAAUAUUAAUAACUAUACUAUUCGCGUAAAAUGUAAAUAAUCAAUAUGAUUAUAAACAUAUAUAUGUAUCUUACCAAGUAAUUUAUUCAUAUUUUCUCAUUAAUUUAUAUUUGCAAUAUUAUAUAGCAACAAAUUGUAUGACACGUCAAUAUAAUUAUAGUAAAUAAAAUGGUUAUUAUGUAAUAAAAUGUAUAAAAAAUGGCCCGAUAAUCUAUAAUUGUACAUAAAAAAAAUUAAACAAAUGAUGGCGAUAUUAUUUUGAUAAAGAAUUAGUAUAAACUUUACUUAUUAUGACGUAGUGAGUAUUUAAUUAUGGGUGAUGCUAACAUGUUUAAAAUAUUACUUGGUUAAGAAUCGAUUUUCUAAAACCCAUAAAACCAAAUAUACGAAAUUGAAGGGUUUCGUCGUUUUGUACAAUAACCAGGAAGCUCUGCUAUUUAAAGAACUUCAUGAUUUGAUUAUUUAUAAUAGAGAAAAUUAUUCUCAUAUUUUCUGUGCAACAACGAGACAAAUCUGACUAUUCAUAUUAAAGUGGUAACGGGAUAACAAGAUUCUAGAAUAUUUCUUGACAAAACCAGACAACUCCAUCGAAUUUUUAAUAAAACGUUUAUAAAAAAACGAUUUUAAAGAUAACUCCAAACGUAAUAGCUUUUUAAAACAAUUAAAUUAAAUUAAGUCAAACUGAAAUUUUUUUUUUUUAUUCUGGUAUAAUGUAACUAAAUUAAUUUUUAACUUAAUUUGACUAUGAACCAAACAUUUCCAAAACGUUAUUUUUUAUUUUCUGAAAAAGUUUGAAAAAUAGAUCAGUCUGGUUAUUAUUACACAAAGCCCUUCAAUUUAAGUGCAUACCUUUUAACAUAAACAUAAUUCGUUAAAAAAAUAUAUAAUUAUACUGUGAAAUUUAAAAAAAAUAUAUCAGAGGAUAAAAUAUUAUAAUUUAAAAAAUAAAUAAUAUUUUGUACCUAUGUAAAUAAUACAAACUUAUUCGUUUACCUAUUUAUACCUAUUUAAAAUAAAUCUAUGUGACAGUGGCGUGCCGUGAUAUUUCAUAUUAGUUAAGCGCUAAAAUAAAAAUUCAAACUAAAUCUUAAAAAAAAAAAAACCAUUUUAUUGAUAUAAAUUUCAAUUGUAUUAUAGACUGUAGUUUUACAGAUUGUUAGCACGUUGGUGACUGAUGGCAAAAUCAUAUUAAUAGGUAACCUACUUGUAUAGCUAAUGUACCCGUAUAAUAUAAAAGUGUACUUAUUGAUAAUGAUAAUAAUUCGAUAUGCAACGGAAAAAUAUUUGAAAUACGUUUUUAAAAAGGUAAAAUAAUAAAGAUGGGUGCAACUACUGGUGUAGGUGGGAAAUUGGGAAAGUAAGAUAUAGACGGGGAUUUAAUGUAUAUCUAUAAGCAACGAUAAACUAUUGCUUACAAAAAAAUGAUUUUCAUUGAAGUUCAGUUGAAAGUGAUAAUUUUUCAACAAUAUAUAUGUCAUUUUAAAGUAAAUUAAUCAAAUAGGCUUUAUAUAAAACUUUAAUAAAAUUUGUUUAAUGUUUUACCGAUUUUCCCUGUUUUCCUACGUGUUUCCUAUGUUUUAUCCUGAUUUUUCACAUUUUCUGAAAAAACUAUUAGGACAGUCAAAAAAUGACUACCUUAAUGUACCUCUCCACGCCGAUUUCCUUUCAGAAAAUUGCUACACGUAAAAAUCCGAAAAAAUCUUCUAAAAGAAAAGUAGCAUAGAGAUAAAAAAAAAAACAUCUUUGUAAAACUAUAAGCUUAUUCGCUCCACUAAGAAUCUAAAAUAUCGCCGUAUAAAAACGUGGUUAACUGCUUCCUAUAUAAAACGAUAUGGGCCAGAUAAUCUAAAAUACGAGCACUUCUGUAAAAAAAAUUACCUAUUCUAAAAACAAAAUGUAAUUUCAUUCGAAGAAAACUGAUAAAUUAUUUUAAAUUGAAUACUCAUAAAAGAAUUUUUGACGAGGCAUGCACCGCUUAUCUAACAUGUCCUGACGGCACGCCACUGCUAUACAAAUACCUACUCACCAUGUAAUUGUCGUAAAAAACCUAAACGCUUGAAAAAAAUUGGGGUACUUCCUUUAGUUCAAUUUUAAAAACCUAUGCGAAGUUAACUUGUUUAUGAAAUCAAACAUAUUUUCAUUAUUAAAAUAGACCAACUGUAGAUACCAACAUUUUUGUUAGGCGUAGAGCUAUUUUACGUUAAUAAAUAACGAAAAUCGACCAUACCCAUUCCUCUAAAAUUGGUAUCGAGCAUUAGAUUAAUCGAAAAGUCUUAUGAUUAUAGUGGUCAUUAAAAAGUAAAACAUAAUUUACAAAUUUUACAAAAUGAGAGGAAAUUUAGAAAACCAACUGCAAUUCCCUAAGCUUAAAAAUAUUACUGUCUAAAAUCAAAAUUGUAUGGUAUUUAUUUACAAAUUUAAAGUGUUUAUUAUACGCAAUUUGUUUUAUCUGUAUACUCUUAUAGUUAAUCAUAUUUUAAUUUUAACCACAAACCAUAUAUUAUAAUCACUCUGUAGAGUUCUAUACAGUGUAUUAUAACACAAGUUUACAAUAAUUUUCAUACUGUAUAGCGAAACACGAGAUCAACUGUUGAAAACCACUGAUCGGUGUACAGCCACGUAUAUUUUUCCUUUUCGUUUGCCAUUCGUAUUGUCUUGAAUUCGAGAUUUUUUCCACGAGACAAAGGAACAGGUUCUACAUGGAGAAUUCACGAAAAAAAAAAUAUUCGCGACUGCUUUCUUCUUAUAUGUGAAUUAUAUAUGUUGUUUCUCUCUCGCCCACUCUCAUUCUAUUUUUUUUUUUUUUUUUUUAUACAUAUACAGCAAACAUUUAACGAUCCAUAAAAUAUGAAUAGCCCAAAUAAAUUUAAACAACUCUAAGCAGCAUUAUAGAACAUUUUGCAAACUGACAAUUUCUCUCCAUACCGAACAACAAAAUAUUAUAGGAUAAAAUGUUCUUUUUGCAUAAUACGUAUAUUAUAAUAUAUUAACCAUUAUUAUUUGAACAUUUUAUUUAAUUUCUGAAAAUAUAACUCACAUAAACCAAGAGAUUUAUAUGUAAAAAAAUUUAAUAAAUAUGUGAUUGCUUUUAACGAUAUAUUUUAAAUACAUACGUUUUCAUAAACAUUAUUUAAGUGUAUAGGUUUGGUAUAUCACAACAAUAAUUUAAUUUGUAAAUGUUAAUACCGAAAUGCAUUUAAAAAUAUGACGAUAAAUAAAAUGAAUCUAACACGAGAAUUAAAAUUCAAUAAGCUAAAUUAUUAUUAUUCACUUAAGCAGGUACCUACUUAUAUUUUUAAAUUAUACAAUUUAACUGCUUUUUUUCAUUUGUAUUUGUUAUCAAUGCAACACAAAUAAUAGCUUAAAGAGAUAGAUAAUCAUGUAAACUCUAUGCAUAUUAUAUUUUUUUCAUUAUGUAAUUUAUGAUGAUUUAAUACAAAAAAAAUACACAAAGUCAUGAAUCUAAUAAUAUAAUAAUAAUAAGGAAGUGUUUUUCAGAGCCUAACAAAUGGUGCUAAAAAAAUCGAAGGAGGAGCGUUUAAUUAAAAUCUUCCAAAUUCAAAUACCAAAUUUGGUAACUUCUAAAAAUAUUUUGACCUAUUAAUCUAUCCUUCGAUAAAUGAUACACUGUACGAUAAUAAUAUAAAAAUUAUCACGCAACAUACCAAAAAUAAAUAAAUAAUUUAUUUUGUUGACUUUGAAAUUAAAUUACCAUUGAAUUACCAACUCAAUAGUUUGAAUUUCUAAGUGUAGGAGGGCAUGAUACCCAUCAUGCGCCCCUAUUCCCAGCACUGGCGUUUGUCUAUGUGCGUGUGUGUGUCCUAAUAUAAAAGUUAAAUUUUAAAAAAAAAAUUUGGACUUAAGUGGACAGAUAACAGCAUUGAAAGUAUCAAAGAAAAUUGAAAUUUAUGCAUGGGUACUCAAUCCUAAACUUAAUUUUUUUUACUUGAAAUAAAAACAAUUUUGUAUUUGUCAUUUUUUUUAAAUAAAAUAAUCGAAAAUAAAGUAUUCAGGGCUAUAAAAACAUUACAUAUCAAUAAAUAAUAAGUAAUAACAUAGGUAUAAGAUAUAACUAUCAGUAACUCUGGCAUUUAUUAUUAUUAUUCAAAUUAUUUAUAAAAACAAAACAAACAAAUGCAAUUUCAAAGCUGCUAAAGCAUAAACAGCUAGUUUAUGUUAAAUUAUCUAAUAAAAUCACUAACCAAAUUAUAGUUAGUUUUAAAAUGUAAAUUAGUUUGAGUAACUAAGUCAAGUUACACAUUUAUAAGAAAUAACAAAUAACAAAAACAGAGCUGAUACUAAGGAUGGGAGCGGCCGCUGUUGUAGAUGAGAAGUUUGGAAGGUAAGAUAUAAAAGGUUAUUUCAUUUAUAUCUGUAAGCAACGAUAAACCAUUGCUUGACGAAAGAUGAUUCCGAGCGCAGUUUGGUAAUACAAAAUUUGAAGUGGCGUAUUUUUUUUUGGGAUUUUCGUUUAAAUUUGAUUUCAAAACUCUUAUAUAUAUAAAAAAAAAAAAAAUGUGUCAGAUGAUUUAGGAAAUUUUCCCACGUCUAGGUAAGUUCAAUAUAAGUAUUAUUACAAAGUUUCAAAUCUCUACGUGUGUUUAUAACCGAAUUACAGAAAAAAACUCCCAAAAAUUAAAAUUCCUUAAAAGCUCAAAAUUUUUGGCGAUGAUACUUUAAGAAAGUAAAUAAAAAAGGCAACAAAAAAGGUAUCUUGUGAUUUUUCGAUCAAAUCAUUUUUUCUGGUAAAAAACGUCAUCCGUGUUUUUAAAAAAUAAUUAUUUCCUACGUUUUUUCCCACUUAAGUGUUUUUAUUUAAAAAAUGGCGUCGAAAAUCAAAACAUAACCACCCUUGAGUACAAUCUAGAUAACUUGAAAUUUCAGAAAAAUUGUUACACGUAAAAAUUGGAGCAAGUUUACUAGGAAAAAACGUGUUCACAGACUAGAAAAAUAAAAAUAAACAUCUUAGGAAAACCAUCAGCUCCCUUGCUACGGUCGGAAUGUAAAAUUAUUUAUUGAAAGAACUAUACCAUAAAUUUACGAAAUGUAUCAACUAAGUUAUUUUCUAACGUUUUAUCUAACUUCUCUUAAGUAAGUUAAAAACAAUCAAUAAAGUAAUUUAUAACUUGACUUUUGAUUUUUUAACUACCGAGUUUACUGCCUAACUUUGUGUAAUUUUAUUGAAAUUAUUUAAGUUCAGCAAAAUAGAAUACCUAGCAAAAUAGAAACAUUUAUCCCAACACAAAUAAAUUAAAAUUCAUAAAUAUCUACUCAAAUUAAUUUCAACAUAUUUUAAUUUCUUUUGAAAUAGGUAAUACAUCGUAUUUUCUUUGAUACAAAAUAAUUUAUCAUAUUAACUAUUAAGCUAAAAACACAUAUUGAGCGUAUUCUUCAAAAAAAAGCAAACCAUAUGCAAAUAUCAAACCUCGAAAAACACACACAAAUUUAAAUUAUAAUUUGUAUAUUUUCCCAACAAUAUAAUAGAAUAGACUACCAAUAUUAUGUCGGAAAUCUAUAUGCAUUUAAUUGCUUCUCAGUUUUUCUCGACACGGCGAUUUUUUUGGAACUUUUAAGUGUCUAUUCUAAUUUAUACAAAUUAUUUGUAUUUUAAAUUGCUUCAAUUAAAUUUAACAUCAAAUAUUACACUUUAGUUGAUUAUAAGUCAUUAAAUUUUAUUUAAUCAAACUCAUUUAUUCCUCAAUAAUUUGCCCAACUAUAAUAUAGAGAGAAAACUUACUUAAAUAAAGAAAACCAACUAAUGCAACCACUUUAAAAUAUACAGUAAAUCCCCUUAGAAGUAGAACACUAUAUAAAAUGUAAACAUAUUUAAAUGUUUGUUUGUACGAGCUAUAAUUAUUUAUGAAGAGUAUUUUUUUGUAUUUAUUUCACACUAUAUAAUACAAUCUAUAUUUGUUUUCAAAAUUAGAUUGAAUACAGAAAACGGUUCUUACAACCGUUAGAAAAUCCUUAUAUUAUAGUGCUUGCACACAAUCUCUACUCUUAAGUGGCAGAUUCGUUUUAAUCUACCUUCACGCAGUAUUAAAAUCUAUUAUAAGCUUUCAUUAGCUCGCUUUUUUCAUAUUUCCCUUAAUUUAACUUGAACUUAUCAACAAAAUAAAAUAGAAACUAAAUACAGUGUAAUUGUAAUUUUCAUACAUACACAAUAAUAUACAGCCGGUAUCUAUGUAUGUAACAGAAAUAUAAUAAUAGUAAUAUUUUUGUUUUGUGUAAUUUACUUUUUCCGUAAAUACCUGUACGAUAUUAAUGAUUUUAUAUAUUAUAAUUUAUGAUACUAUACCACUAUUGGGAUAGUUUUAAAAUCUGAUUUCAAGUAUUUUUAAGAAUAAUUUCGAAAAUCCCUUUUUUGAAUUGAUACCUAAGUAUAAUUGUAUAUUAUUAUAUUAUGAUCGUCUACUUUAAAUUGAUAUCUAUCAGGUUGUGACACCUAAUAAAUUAGCUUGUUUAAUUAUUUAUUACAAUUUAAAAUGAAUACAACUAAACAGUUUUUUAUACAUACAAAUUAAAGAUUAUUUAAGCAAGUUCAACAAAAUUAAAUAAAAUUGUCUUAAUUUUGGUAUAAAUACAACCAGGUCCAGUCUAUAACUAGAAGGGAAAGCAGAGAUUUUUCCUUACGCGUAAAAUAUUCAGGGGCGUAUUCACAUAUUUGUAUUGUUUGUUUACUGAUAAAUUCUACUUUAAUUACAUUUUUCAGUAUCUUAGAAGGGACUAGAAGAGAAAUAGUAAAUAAUUGGUACACUAUGAAAGUAAUAAUCAAUGUAGAACUAAUAUAAAACGAUGUGGGUAGAAAACAACGCCUGGAGCUUUUAGUAUUUUUAUCUCAGGAUGUAAAAAUGUUUAGGUCCGGAACUGUCUGCUGCAUGACAAAAAAACGACUUUAAUUAUAUAAUAUUUACAAUCUGGUACCUACCGUUAUAUUUUUAUCGUUUACAACUUCAUUUUUAAAAUUAAUAAUUAUUGAAUAUGAAUAUAAAUAUUAUAUUUUUUUACUUAUAUCAUUCAAUUUAUGAGCAUAGUAUUGAAAAUCUCGAGAAAAAUGGAUUAUACAAGUACUUAUGAAAUUCUAGAACGUUGAACGUACAAAUCUGAAAUCCAGAGUUUUACGAAUAUCGAAACCUGAAAUACAAAUCUGUAAUGUACAAAUGAAAUUUAAAGUUCAUAUUUCGAUGUCUAUAAAACCCUGGAUUUCAGAUUUGUACACUCAAAGCUUUUUCGUGUUUCCUAUGUAAGUUCUAAAAGAAAAUCGUGCAUGUAGUUUUCAUUCCAAAUAUAAUUAAUGAGGUUAAACAUUAAGCUAGAGUUAUAAAAAUAUAUACAAAUCAGUGGCGAGGGAUAACCAUGGCAUUUUUGAAUCGUAGCUCCAUAGAAACAACUAUAAUAUACUGACGCUCAUUCUCGAUAUAUAUUGAAAUCUUGUAGUGUUUGUGGUCAAAAUUAGGUACUCCAUCAAAGUAAUAAUGGAUUACCCAACGAUAUUUAUAGACAGCUCAAAACAUAAUAAUGGCCAUCUAUAAGCUAUAAGGCAUACCUAUCUCUAAAGAUCAAUUUAAUAUUUUGUAUUACACAUAAUACGUCUAAUGUUAUAAAAAGAUAAACGUAUUAUAAAAUAUGUUCAUCAUACAUGCAUACGUUUCUAAAUGUAUGAAAACCAUAUCGAAAUUAUAUUACUCAAAAUUAUCUACUUGUAUACUUAUUAUAAACAAAUAUUUUUGAAAAAAAUCGGAUGGUCGAUGGGACGUACGUCGUAUCAUGGGAAGGCACUAAUCCAGAUUCCUGAAUUAAUUACCUAUAUAAAAUUAAUAUUUAUUAAUUAGAUUAAGAAUAAUAAUUAAAGUUAACUAAAAAUAAUUUUUGUAUCCAACUCGUGAUUAUGUUAUUGAUAAUUUACGAAAAGAAUCACGGUACCAACCCGGGCAUAUUUAAAUGGUUUUCUGUAGAUGUUCAAAUGGACACACGAUAAAGUCCAUCGGACACCCAGUAGGAUAAUAUUUUUGUUACGUGUAUCCACUAAAAAAUAAAUGGUAAAUUAAUUAAUUUGAGUAAUUUAUUUAUCUGUUUUAGUAAAAUAAUGAAAUAACAGAAAUAGGUACUUAAUCGAUUUUACAACAAAAUACUAUAAUUUAUGUAUGAAAUAUCGUCACUGAGGAGAGAAAUUACUGCAUGAAGAAAGUCUAAUAAGAAAGCAUGGGUAACGUUUGGUUUAUCUAUUUUUUAAGGGAAGGGAGUGGGCACACCAUGGUUAUUCACUAAAAACUGUCUUGAUACUUGUAGUUGGGAAGCAAUCAGUUUGUGCCAAUGGGAAGAUAUCAUAAUGUAGGAUAAUUUAAUUUAAAAUGUUUAAAUCACGAAUUUAACUAUAAAUUAUUGCAAACAAAAAACAAUUAUAAAUGGACCUCGGUUAAAUUAUUUAUUCUAAAUUUACAUUGACAAAUUUAUACAAUUUGAACUACAAAAUAAUUUUCAAUGUAUCAUGUUUUGAACGGAUUUAUCAAAAAUUUAAACUUCAAACAUCAAAUAUAAACCAAAAAACUCAAUAAUUUCAAAAAUCUAUAAAUAACUAAAAGGAAAAAAAUUCAAAUAUUUUAAAAACAACUUCACGUUUGGAAAAAAAUAAUCGGUAAUAUUUGGUAAAAAUAUCAAGUCUCCGCUAUAUUAUUUCUCGCUAAAUUAUAUAUAAAAAAAAAAAAAAAAUGAUUUUGUCAAAAACCGGUGUCGCAUAUAAAAUAUUUUCGACUUUUCAUACCUGAUUUUUUGUCAAUAGCUGGUAUAUACUAUAGAAGAAAAGUAUAUACAAGGAAUUUAAAAAAUGACGACCACCUCAAUACUAUAAUAGGUAAAGUAAACUAUUGUCUAUCGAAAAAAUACUACUACAUAGAAAUUAUAAUGUGCUCCCCAGAUGUCGACGAUACGAUCGGAGCAACUAUCUUCUGCGGGUCGAAGUCGUGUUUGACUGCAGACGGUUAAAAAAAACACACUGAUCACAGUGAAACCAUUAGGUAUACCUAUAUUACAUCUAUGCAUUCCUCUCUUCGUUCACAAUCUAAAAAUAUAUUGAAUUUUUUUUUCAGAUAUACCGGUAAACUGCAGUAAUCACCCAAGACUAUCGGUUCUAUACGUACCGUAUUAAAACACUAUAUUUAGGUACGUACCUACGUCAUAUAUGUACACGUUCGGAAUUUAUAAUAUUUAUUGGCUGUAGACCGAUAUUUACGUAUACCUAUCUAUACCUAUAAUAUACCUACCUAUCUAUACCUUAGCUCACGCUAAAUUGAAUAGGUAUAGCUAUAUAAAAAAAAAAACAGACGUAUAUGCACACGGCUUUCGUAUAGAUUAGGAGAUGGGCUAACAAAAGGUAUGUUGUGUUUGUGUGUGUGUGUGUGCAUGUGUAGGUAUACGCGUGCGUAAGUAUCGCGCUCGUGCGCGCGUGUGUGUGUGUGUGUGUGUGUGCGAGACUUAUGUGAGAGCGUAGCGUACAUGCGAUACUGUAGUGACUGGUGGGACGAAAACCAGUACCUGUUCGUUAAAUAUGAACCGGUUGCGUGUGUGCACAGAUCGCUGGACCUUACACCUACAGGUUGCCCAUUAGUCAACAACAGUUUGGUGCCACAGUCGUCUUCUUCUUUUAGCCCUACCAUACUUUUCAUUUCCACACUCAGAAAUUGUCACUGUUCCAUAGUACCUAUAAUUACUUUAACCUAUGGUUUUGUUCUUACAGUAGUAGGUCAGUUUUUACGUUCAUACGAUUCGUAAAAAAAAAAAAUUAAAACGAUGAAUGUUCGUGCUUAAAAUGUAUAACAAUAAAUAAAACUAAUGAAUAUCGCCGUCAUUCAGCUGCAUCACAUCUCCGCCGACAUACGCAACUCGACAAUUGUAAUAUGCAUCGGUUGCAGGUAAUAUUAUAUUAUAUUUUCUAAAAAUAUGUUAUAAUAAUUAUGUAUAAUAUACUAUGUACCCAUGGGUAAAAUAAAUUUGUUUUUUUCAAAACACUAUCGUGGCGAUCGUUAUUUCAAAUCGGCUCAGAUAUACUGUCGAAAUGUAACGAUUUUCUAUUUUUCGCAAUACAUAUUUUCGUAAUAUAAGGAUAUUAACAUAUUAUUAUCAUCGUAGCCAAUUCAUAGGUAUUGUGUGUUUAAUUUUCAACCGAAAUAAUUUAUUCCACUUUGAGGUUAUUACAUAUUAUACAAUUUUUUCUUACUUAUAAUAGUCCUAUGGGUAGGUAAUAAUUUAGUCCUUUAGGUACUUAAAAGUCACUAUAAGAACCUAUAGACCAUAUUUUUAUCUAUAUCUAUAGUUAUUUUUAUAUUUCAACAAGUUUUGUAGAAUAUAAAACUAUGUAACUAUUUAUAACUGUAUUUUUCGAACAGACAUUUGUAUCGUAUUAUUAUUAGUAUGUACUUAUAUAUUAUGCUGUGUUUUACUGUUAUAUAAUGUUAAUCGUUUUAUGUAACGUGAAACGCAUUAAUGUCAAUAAAAUUCACUUUCUAAAAUUGCUGUUCACAAAACUCUUCGAACGCAAAUAAUGAAUAUUAUAUCAGUCGAAAAUCGUACGCAUAUUUCCUAAAGUAUAUCUAUAGGUAGGUAUACUAAAAAUAAGACUAUAGUGUUAUCACUGUGAAAUAAUCGUCAUAAUAUAUUUCAAUUAUUUAGCAAAGUGUAUAUAAUAUAUAUUUGUACGAACAGUAAUUUUAAUAAAAAUAAACUAUUUAUGGAAAUAUUAUAUAUGUAUUUUCUUAGGUUUAUCAUUAAAAUCUAGUAAAUUUCAGGAGUUGUUUUUAUAAUUUAAUCUUUUAAGUGCAUUAAAUUUGUUUAAAUUAUAAUUAAAUUAGGUAAAUACCAUAACUAUAUUCAUAUUGUUAGUCCGAAUUUUCUUAACUAAAUAGAAUUAUCAUUUUAUUUUUUAUUUUUUAAUAAUGUUGUAUUACAAUUAGCGUUAAUAUUAUAACGUUAUUUUAUAUAAUUAAUAACUAAUAACUAAUAUGUAUAAUAUUUUCCAUUGGUAUUUAGAAUUUGUCAGUUGGUUUCAAUUAUAUUAUACUACCUAUAAUAUUUAUGAAUAACACUGUUAGCUGUUUAGUAUAUAGAUUCUCAACAAUUUACGUUUCAAGGAGAACAAACUAAAAUAUGAGGUACUUGUUGAAUUUUUAAUUUAUCGAGGUUGAUUAAAUGUUAUUGAACUGACUGGGGGAAUUCCUUUCUUUUGGAAUGGCACAUGUCGUUAAUCUCUAUAGUACCGGCUAUUAUCAAAACUCGGACAAAAUAUUACAAUCAUUCAAUAAAUUACUUAGGUAGUAAGUACCUACCUAAAAUACGACAUUACAAAAAUAACACUAUAGAAUAACUAUAAAAACAAUGGAAGCUAAAUAAAUAAAUAAAAUAAAUUAUGUUUUUUCACUUUGUACGAAUAGAAGAAAAUCUAUUAAAAUUGAUAAUUUAUAAUUUUUAAAUUCCGUUUAAUAUUUUAAAAAAGACCGCAUUUAUUUUCAUAAUAUAUUAUUUAUAAACAUUUAAAUUAAAUAGUUCUGCCAUACCUAUAAAUUGUUUAUAUCAAACUAAUAAUAUCCACAAUGAUAAUAAUGUAUAUGGAUAAGGAACAUUUUCCAAAAUAUGAUACUUAUUAUAAUAUUAUUGUCCAUGUAGACCCGCCUUAAAUAAAAUAUACAAUAAUCGCAUAGGCAGUGGCGUGCCACAGAAAAUUUCCAAUUGAAGGGGAUGUAGCAAAUAUUAAUAUUAAUCAUAUCGUAGAAUCUUCUUCUAUUAACAACUCAAUAAUGGGAGUUAAAAAGCUGGAAAAACCAAGUUUUAAUCAAUAGAUCAGACUUUUCCUUCUAGCUUGACUGAAACCUAUAGAUUUCAGUAUUGAAUUACUAAAUAUAUACACAUUGUUGUGUUGAAAAUCCAAUGGUGGGAGAGAAGAUAAGCCCCCUGACCUCCCUACCCGUGGUCACGUCACUGUGCACUGUCAAACUAUGUAUUUUUGCUCAACAACGGACGGCCCAGCGAUCCUACGGAUUAAAAUUUAAUAUUAUAACGAAUAUAAACGUAUGGAACUACUGCUGCAGUGAAUGCCUACCUGCAUCAUGAUGCACCUGCGUUACCCUACCUAAACAUUAUUAUUAUAUAACAGCCUAUAUAAUAUUUUUUGUAGUGUUAGUAUUAGUAAUAUUAUUUUCAAUAUCAUCGCAUUUAUGAAUCUCGUUAACCGGUCGGGUUUCGGCGGGGCGGGGCGAGGAGGGAUUUUAGGACAUUUCUAAACCGACGACAACGACGACGACCUGCACAGCACACUCGCCGCCAUGGGCAACGUAGGUACAUUAUAUAUUGUCCAUGAUUCCUUUGUUUAUUUUGUCGUUAAAGAAACAUUUGGAAAGCCGUAAUAAUAAUAGCAGUGAGUGUAUUAUUAUAACGUGUAUGCCUAUACUGUGAACACGCGCGCCGAUCCGUAAUAUAUGCGCAAACCGCCCGAGCGACGUUUCAGUAUGGUCAGAAAAAUGCUUUUCGUCCGAUACCGAAUGGAGUAUUCAAACGGAUGACGGUCCAUUAGAAGGCGGCGGGACGUCAAAAGCAUCGAGCAAAACUACUCGGGCAAAACUGAUACAUCACUGAACAAUAAUAUAUAACAGUAAACAUUUUUUUUUUUUUUUUAUUAUUAUUAUUAUUAUUAUGUAUCGAUGUUUCUACCGUUAGAAUAAAAUAUUAUACUUUUGUGGCCGUUAUCAGCCGUAUAGGUAGGUAAUGUUACCUAGAUACACUAUAUUUAGUUAAAAAUGUCAAAUUUACAACCGUUAUUAACAGAAAACGUGUAGACAAUAUCUAUACAUUAUGCGGUGACGAAUUUGUAAGGGGAGGGGGGUUACGACGAGGCGUCCUUAGACUUUUUUAAAGAAAAUCGUUUGGCAUUUGAAUUAAAAUGUAUACAAGUACCUGUGAGACAAGGUGUCCAUAAAAAUUAUGAACGCAUUCAUAUACACUUUUUUGAUACUCGCCUCUCUCCCGAAAUAUGUUUUUCAGUUACUGUGUCUAGUAAGUGUUAUUUGACUCCCCUCCCCCUUAAAUAAGUUGUUCAGAUCUACCACUACAGGUUACACGCGUAAUUUUCUUCAGACAUUUGCAGGUAUAUCCGUCAGGUUUUGUAAUAAUGAUUUAUGUUAAUAUACUGUGUUAUACACUACCAACGGCUGCGUCUACUCGAAACAAUACGGAUUGUGACCUCCAGACGCCCAGACACCCUGUGCCAUAACGUCGAACGUGCCGUGCAGAAUCGUUUCGACGCGUACCUACACCACUAACCGGGUAGCUGGUUUUUCUCUUUGGUUAUCUAGCUGUAUGAGUGUCACAUAUACAAAUCUCCUCAUAGGUCUAGGUGACCGAAGUUAAAAAUCGCACCCAUUACUACAACGGUAACGUCACGUACACAUGCAGCAACAGAUACCUGACGACGGCACACGCGUAACCGCCCACCUGCUGCAACUACGGUAUUAUUAUGCAGUUGUAAGCCACGCCGGAAAACUCUCCGCAAAAACGAUUAUAUAUUUAUUAUUUAACAGUAUUAUAUAGUAUAGUAGAUCGAUUAUGUGAGAAAUCACAAACAGCCGUUAUUAAUCGGUGAACUAACCAGGUAGGUGUCUUAGUUAGUUUACUGGGUAUACAAUAUAUACUAAUAACUAACAACUGUUAAGACUCUCGGUUUUAUCAUAAAUCGGUGGUAUUGUGAACACCGUCGUUUCAACUAGUCUACCUUUUAUUGUUUCGUGAUUAAUUAUUGUCAAUCGACAAUUUUAGGAAUCUUCUAUUCGUUUAUACACCGUGCAUAAUUUAAAUUUAUUGACAUAAGCGUGCACAUGGGGUAUGCAGUGUAUGCCACGGCUACCACCUACUCUGUAGCUUUAUGCAUAAGAGCCCAAAAUUGUUGUUCAAUGUAUUUACAUACUUAAACUUAGGUCAUAUUUACAGUUGCUAUUAAUUUAAUUUAAACUACAGUACGUCAUACAUAUUAUGAUCUUUUGUGAUUAAACUUUAUGUGAUUUUUCAAUUAUAUUUUUGUGAGGAGUCCCAAAUAUAUUUGGGACCCCAAAUAUAUAAUAUUAUAAUAUAAAAAUUAUAGUAUUUUUAUUUUGUAACUUAUAGUUACAUAUAUUAUUAGUUAUAUAAUAAAUAUAUUACAAUUAAGCAGAAACGAACGCAUGAAAAUAUUUUAGGGAAGUAUAAAAGAAUAUUUAUUAUAAUAAAUUAGCCUUUGUAUUCUGUAAACCAAUUAUUUAUAAUUUAAAAUUUCAAUACAAAUUAAAGGGUAAUUUAAAUUUUUGAUUGUGUUUUAAUUCCCGAUUUUAAUUCCCUGAUUUCGCCUCUGACUAAUUAAAUUGCAUACAGCAUCGUGUAUUUAUAAGGUAAUAAUGUAAUAUACAUUUUUUAAUUAAAAUUUUUCUUAUACAUUAACUUUCAAAUUUAGUUACUACAAUAUCAUGUGCGCAAACCACCAAAAUAUUUGAGGGAGGGCUCAAGUAACCAUAAUAUUUAUUAAUACUUAUACAGUGCGUUUCACCUUAAUGGUAACAUGAAAUAUUUCUGUUCAGUGACCUCGGAUUGAAAUGGAGUUUUCAAGAAAAGAUAGAAAAUACUGAAAUACACAUUAAACAUACGCCAGUGGUUGUGCACAUGUUUCAAUAAUGUUUUGUUUUAAAUGGUGGAGACUUAUUGGUGGGUCAGCAUAGACUACAGUUUAUAAAUGUCCCCAAAGAAAAAAAUCUAGAGACGUUAAAUCAGAUGAACUCUCCGGCCAAGUUAUUGGUCCAUAUGUCCCCAUCCAACAAAUGUAUGGUGUGGAUUAAUUGAAGGUUUUAUAAUAGGUCUCUAUUUUUAUGAUAGAACAUUAAAUGUAAGGAAAUUUUGGAUUUUAUUUCUAACCAUUUACCACUAUUGUUAGAAAGUGUUCCAUUAGAUAUUAAGGAAAACGUAAUUUUUCUACAAAAUGGUACUCCCUUGCUGUAGUUAAUGCUGACCCACCGAUUAGACUACAGCGUUUAAAACAAAAAAUCACGGAAGCAUGCGCACAACUGACAAAGAAACAAAUUUGACAGCUACUCAAAAUGAAGUCAUACGACGUUCAGAAUUAUGUUUACAACAUAAUGGACAAAACUUCGAACAAUUUAUAAGAUAAUGAUGACUGAUGAGUAUUUUUUGUAUUUCGUAAAUUGUUUAAAAUUAAAUUAAUUUAAUAAUAAUAAAAUAAUUUUGUUUCAACGUUAACGAGCUAUAUUUCGGCCAAUUUUCGAGAUAAGGGAAAAGUUUUUAUACAUAUAAGUUGCUUAAAAAUUAAUGGUUUAUCCAAAUCAAGUGUUGGAAAUAGGUAUUUCCAUUUAAAAAAAUUUAAGUUUUAUUGCACAUGCAUACACUGAAAGGUUUAAAAAUUUAAAAAUCCUUCAAAAAAUGUGUAGAUAUUUUAGUAUUUCCUAUCUUCUUUUGAAAACCAAAUUUCAAUCUAAGGUCACUGGACAAAAAUAUUUCAUGUUACCACUUGAGUGAAAUGCACUGUAUAUGAAUCACCAGAAAGGGGACAUGUCCCUAAAACCAAAUUUUACAAAAAACUGUCAAGACAAGGCUGAGAAGGAGCUAUCGGUUAAGCAUAAAAACUUACUAGAAAUAUAUACUUAAGAGUUUACUUGAUAAGCAUUUAAUCUAGGGAGGGGGCUAUACGCCGAGUUUGAAGAAGGAUAAGCACCUAAUCGCUUUCCAUUUUGUGAGCCUAUGCGAAUGGUAUCAACAAAGCAACCUGAGUAAAUAUCUAUUAAUGACGUCUGAUUAAUCAAUUAAAAUUUAAAAAAUGACUUGAAAAUAAUUCGGUUCACCUUUGGGCUUAUUAACAAAGAAAAAAGGAGCUUUUUUUGAACUGGGGGAGAUUUUAUCCUAGUUUCAUUCCUAUUGGUCACCGCGGGAUUUCCCCGUACAAGUUGAAGUACUGCUGCAGUCGAGUAUGAUGCGAUGCGGACGACGACGACGGCGGCGGCAGCGUUCGAUAGAUCAAGAGAUUAAUGGGAUUAAUGGUGCUCCUCCUCCUCCUCCUCCUCCUCCUCCUCCUGCUCCUACUACUACUACUACUACUCUAACUAUCACGGCACCUCCGCCGCUGAUGACGCCAAGGCUGCGAGGUUGCCAGACACACAAGGAUACAUUAUUAUCAUUGUAUACCCCUCGCGCCGCGGUCUCCUCUGCGAGCCGUCCAAAACCCGGGUUGGCCACGCGUGUGUGCGCGUGUUGUACGUGUGUCAUGCACCUCUUUUUUUUUAGAACCGGAUUCUGUGUCAUCUUGUUCUUCUGGACAGUUAUGGCUGCCGCCGCCGUCACAGACAUGGUUAACCUUGGGCCGGAUGUGCAUAACGAAAAUCACUGCAGCGGCGAACGAAUACGGAACAUAAUAAUAUUAUAUUAUGUAAAUAUUAUAAUACCUAUUAUCUAUGUUUAAACCGCGAAACCGUUGUGCCGGCGGCGGCGGUACUUAAUAACUAUACUGCGGGAAAUAUUUUAAUUGAAACGCAUGCAGGUCCCGUAACUCUACUGUUGUAACCUGUAAGCGAAGCGUUUACAAAUGCAUUCAAGCAGCAAAGCCGUAACUAGUGUAUAUAGACAUCAUCGUGUUUCGAAAAAAAAAAAAAAAUAAAUAACAAUCUCAUUUGCAGUUUUUAAAUAUUUACGAGAUUUUAAACGGUUCGGUAAUUUUUAAUUCAAUAUUGUAUGAUCGUGUAUCAGUAUUACGUCCGUUAUGAUAACAAACGUGCUCAUUAAAUUUAACUAUACAACGCAGUUGGCGAGUUUUUCAAAUUUUAAACAAUUGGAGAAAAUUUUGAAAAAAAAAUUUUUUACAUUUUAUUAACCACCUAAUUAAAGACUUUUCCACUUACCUACUGCUCGAUGUCUGCUUAAUAUUAACAUCCAUACGACCAUACAGUAUUACGAUAAUUUUUACGUAUGGAGAUGACGUUUUGUAUCGAAAAGUCAGACAAAACUGUAAACAUCAUCCGACUAAUUUAAAUUUUGAAAAGUAUUACGAUUCUUUAGGUUCUUCACUAGGAUACGUUGUAGUUACUUUUUGACAUUUCAAUUAUCUUUAUCAAAAGUAAAAGGCUAAACACUAAUUAGGAUUUUGCACAAUUUUUUAAAAAUAUAAGUGUACAAUCAAAUUUUUUUUUACUAUUUCCAAUAAAAUAAUUACAUUUCUAUUUUCGUCAUAUCCUAGUAAAUAAUAGCUAAAAAAAUCAAAAACCGUUUUUAAAAUUUAAAUCCGUCAAAUCCAAGGACAGGCAAAAAAGUUUGAUGUAUUUGAGAAUUCGAGUAUUUGAGAAUUUUCGUUUUAUUUUAAUUUUAUUCAUUUAAAUACCGAUAUCACAAACAAUUAUCUUAAAAUCGUAAACAUUGAAACACUUAUACGAAUUAAGUGAGUGGAUAACGUGUAAUAUUAUUAAGUGGUAAACCAGUUGUAUCAGUAACUGCAACAUUAAUAAACUUUACUUUCAAUAGUAAAUGUACGCAUGGGAAUAACUCGGUAUCAUCACCGACUCUUAUACAAUCGGAACUCCGAGUUACCCACGAAAUAUUCAAGUUAAUCGCGAUUUUUUACAUUGUUAAAAUGGGAAAUUCUAAUGAACGCGGAAAAAGUUUGAGAUAUUAACGAUUUCGAGUUAAACAAAUUAGAUUAUAUUAAUUUUAUCGUAAUUAUAUUUUAUAGGCAGCAUCCGAAUUGGUUCCCGAUAAAAACUUUCAAAAGAUGCGAAAUACAAUCUAAUAAUAUAUUAUUUAAUAUGAACGUAACACACUAUUUUCUAUCAUUCUGCACGAGUAUAAAAUAUUAUAAUUUAAUAAAUUGUCGUUACUCGUUACUACAUUCACUAAGCCAAUAAAACCGUAGAGUACACGUAUAAAGUGGUGUUUGCAUUUGCAUAAUAUCAUUAAGUGCAUAGUUAUAUUAUAAUCAAUGGUAAUACGUAAACAGUCAUACAUCUGUACAAAAUGGGAAAGAAAAUUGAAAUUGUAUUUCAAAUAAUCUAAAAAUCAAUUCAGAUACACCAAUUUACACAUGUACAUAACCUAACCCAGAGUCGUAAUUAUUACCCUCCGUGGGCGCCUUUGGCAAAUUUUACAUACCUAAUGCACCAACUUCAUUAGUACAAACGUGAGGGCUGAGCUUCCUGAAAUACAUCCAAGCCUCUCAAAUAAAAUCGUAAUCAAGUAAAUACUAAGUAUUAAUAGGUAAUCAAUAUUAUGGGAACUUAGCCCCCAAAAUAUUUGGGCUAUUUGCUCCAAAAAAUGAGCAAAAAUUAUUGUACAAUUUUAAUAUUAUCCCUCUUAUUAUAGUUAUUAAUAUUAAAUUGUGUAUUUUUACCUGCAUCUGAAACGCACAAAAAUCACAUUGUUAUAAGAAAAUUGACGUUUUUUUAACAUUUUUUAAAAUUUAAAAUUAAACAGAAAUUUAAUAAAAUAUAAGUUUUGGUUUAAAUACUUAUAUUUAUUUUAGAAAAUUGAUUAUUAAGUGUAUUAUAUUCGUCGUUGUUACUUAUAACUAUUAAUAUAAGAACAUCAUCAGAAAAUGUCUAGGAUUUUUUUUGGUGAAUUUCUUAGCGACGAAAUAUAUUGAUCAGAUGAAACUAUUUUUUUUUAUAACAACAUAUUUAAAAGAUCUUCAUUAAUGUUUUGUCUAAAGUUUUUUCGUAUAUGAUGUGCUCGAAUAUUUUUAUAAUCCUUAUUCCUAGCCUAUUUUCAAGAAUUUUUAACCGGCUCGAAUCCCAAGAGAGAAAAUUAGGUGAACAAUAUCAGGGCCUAGAAGGAAAUUAUAACUUGAAAACUUUUUAUUUAAUUUAAAUCUUUAACGCUAAUGUAUAUAUUUAAUUAUUUUGUAAUAUUUUAGGCUUCAGGCUUCGACUCGGAUUGUUCAUAUUUACAAGUUCAUAGUGUUUAAAUAAAUUUGAAAUAUUUACUUUAUUGUAAAAUAUAUCAGUAAAAAUUAAAAUUAUUAAAUACAAAAUAUUAGUAAACUUUAUAAAACGUAGUUAUAGGUACUAUAUUCAUUACAGUAUAAAAACGUAAUACUAACCUUUAUGAAACUGCAACAGGUACUCGUAUAAAUUAAUGCAUAUUGCACAUAAGUGUAUUUAUAACACUGUAAGGCGUAAUAUUAUUCUAAUCGUAAUUGUACUGAUAAAUAUCAUAUCUGUUUAAAUGAAAUACUGGAUUUCUGUUAUAACUUUAUUUACGGAUUACCCCCUCAUACAAUCUGUCACGUCUAACACGUGUUAGUCAAUAACACUUGUGUUAUUAAAUUGUACACAAAUAAUUAAUUUUCUAUACAAAUUUUUAAAUUUUUAAAAACACUAUUUUUUUUAUGAAAAUAUGAUUUGUGUGCGUUGCAGAUGUGACGGAACGCAAUAAAAAAUUAUGUAUUCUUAUAACUGAGAACUUCCUCUACAAAAUGCAAAUACAUUGGGUAUAGGGUAAAUUUGAGUAAAUUUUUACUCCAGUCUAUGAAAAUAAAAAACACAAAAACGUUCAACUUGUUUUUAUGAUUUAUAACCGUUAAAAACUUAGAUUUAAAAAAAUAAAAUGUAUACAUUUUUUUUUAUCUUAAUAUGCGAAUUACUUAAUACACAGAUUUUUCAUUUUAUAAAUUUUAAAUAGCCAAAAAAAUUAAUAAGUUAACGGCAUUUUUAUUUUCAAAAUAACAAAAAAACGAAAUUUGUCUAGUUCACUUAUUUAUAACUCCAGUUAAAAAAAUGUUAUGAAAAUGAAAGUUUGUAUUUACACUAGUAAUCAUCUACUAAUGAGAUUAUAGAAAAAAAAUUAAUUUUUCAAACAUUUUUAAUGUCCUAUUUUUGUCACCUAAAUUUCAUUCUAACGUCCCUGAAUCUAAGUCUAAUGUAAGAAUUAUUCCACUUCCCAAUAUUACAAAAAUAAUGAUUGAAAUUGUACAACUCAACGAAAAAUUAGUUUUUCCUAUAAAUUAUAUUUUUAACCAAAAAAAAAAAAAAUACAAUUUAAUCAACAAACUUUUGGAGCUUGGAAAUAUCCGGAUAAGCAACAGUAUAAUAAUUAAAACGGUGAAUGCCUGGGAAUAUCAUAAACUUAUACUUCAUUAGGACUUUGAGUAAUUUAUUACUAUCGUCAAAUAUAUUCUUAUAUAAAAGCAAAUUUAGUACAAACUAUAGGAAUUUAAUUAAUAUUGCUUAUAUGGAUAUUUCCAAGUAGAUACCUACCAAAAAGUUUUUAAAUGAAUAUAUAAACAACAGUUUCUUCUAACUAUGCGAUAAUCUGGCAGCGACUGGGCCAACACUUAUCAUUUAUAAAAACUUAGAUACUACAAAAAGUAUUUAAAAUUGAUCCUGGGAUUACAGUUAUAAAUAUAAUUAAUGCUGUAUGAAAUUUAAAUUGCAUAGUAACAACCUAUUACAUAAUUUAUAUUCAGCUAUUGAAUUAAUAACGUGUUCCAAAUGUGCAUCACCCAAAACACUCCAUAGUACAACGAUUGUAUUAAAUUUAAAAAAGUCAUGGUCAUUGAAAUAAUGUAUGGGGAAUGGAGAUUUAUAACGAUUUAGAACCACAUACAUUGGAAAGAUUCGAAUACCAAUAUUAAUUAUUACUUAAUAAUACUCGUAUACAUAAAACAGGGACGGCCAUUUUGGAUUUCCCUUCCUAAUAUAUUAUCAUAUAUUAUACAAUAUUUUGUUACCUACUUACAUAGAUACAUUAAUUUUUUUAAAUAAUCUAAAUAUUAUAAUUGUUAACAAAUUUAAUACUUAUUAACAAAUAUUUAUUUUCAACUAAUCAAUCUAUUUAAUUGAAGAAUAAAUUAAAACCCAGAAAGAACGCAAAAAGAUGCUCAGUCAAACCGCACAGAAUAGAUGUAGUUUAUUAAGUACCUAUUUUCCAAAUAUUAAGGUUCAAUCACUAUAGGUAGCUGCGUUCAUCAAGAAACUAGUCAAUAAUCAUCCACUUAAAAAUGCCAAAUUUGAAAAAAAAAAUACAUAAAUAACAGUUAUAGUUUAAUAUGUUCUCUUCUCACAUAGGUACUAAAUAUCGAUUAUACAAAAUACGAAAUACAGAAUACAUUAUACAAUUUAUAAAACCAGUUUGAUUAUCUGUCUUAGUACUAAAAAUGAUUGGAGUGAUGGCAUACCAAGAGAUAAAACACGAUAGGUACCUAAUAAAAACGUUCAAUGUUUUUUUGUAUCAAAUACAUUAUUUUACGUGAUUAAUGAUUACUAAAUAACACUAGAUACCAUACUAUAAUGCGUGCAUUGAUACAUUUUAGAUUUAUGUGAAUAAAUCAAUUUUGGUUUAGCAAACAUAUUCAACAGUUUGUUACAAGAUCAUCAUAAUUUAUGAUGAAAUUCCUCGUGCAAUUUUUUAACAAUUGUAUUUCAUUUUGUACUUACAAUUUAAUACAUUUAAAUCUACCAAAAUAUAUAUAUAAGAAUAUAAACAUAAUUGCAACGAUGAAAUUGUAUGAAACAAGGAGUUCUAAAAUUGUACAUUACCGUUAUUUAUUGACACUUUAAUUUUCGGGUAAAACCUCUAUCACGUUUUUAAAUUUCAAAAAGCUAGUUAUAUUAAAAAUUGCAUAAAUAAAUAAACUUUUAGUUUUGGUGAAGACAUUUUUAAUUUCAGUAAAAUCCUUUUGACGAGGAAUUCCACUUUUAAGUUUGUCAUUUCGUGGUAAGGGAAGAGUAGUGUAAAUCGUUUGCGUGGCCCGCAACUUUUGAAUAUAACAUAUGUCGAACGGGUAUAUCAAUCAUAUAGUAAUUGUUUUUCUAUAAAAUGUUCAAAUCUAUAAUAUACAUACACAUACCUAUAGAUUUAUGAAUAAACCUAUAAAUAAUUUUAUUUAGUCGCGUCCCAAAAAAUCGCACCGAAGACAUGAUAUUAUAAUGCGAAUUUGAAUAGCAGAAAAUAAGAAAGAAAACCACCAGAGAUGCAAAUAAAACCUAAAUACCAAACACGCAUGUAUGAAGUGAAAAUAAAUAAACAAAAACACAAAAUCCUUGAAUUAGAAAUAAGGAGCAGUAUAUGUUUAGUUUUAAUUUGUUUAAAACUAUUUUGCAAUAUUUACCGACUCAUAACCGAUCUCAUCGGACGAGUCGUACGAAACGGAUCGAUUUGUGAUUGUGCAUCCAACUGAAACCGCAGAAAUCGGAUUGCCGAUGCGACGGUCAUUUACAAUCGGAUUUUAAUUCAAUGACAUUCGCGUUUUCAUAACGAGUGAUCCGCACCUGCAGUCGGAAAAGUUACCCCUCGGAGAAAUUUCGUCGGCAUUACCGACGGGCCCGAUGCGUGGCGGUCAUCCGAACACCAAGGACGCCCAUUAGGGGGUAACAGGGGAUAAUAUAUCACCCCCCUAGAAAAAUUGCAUUGCCAUUUGUUUUAUAGUUAAAACAAAUUCAUUUUUAUAAUCUUCCAAGAAGUACUAUGGAAGAAUAUAGGUUGGGUGGAGGACUGUGUAUGCUCAAAAAAAAAAAAAAAAACAGACAAAAAGUUCAUCACGACACCAAGUUUGUUGAAAAAUUUAGUAAGCAAAACUACGAUUUACAGUUUUUGUUCACGUAUAAAAUGUAUGUUUGUUUUUUCGUUAUUUAAUAAAAACAAUUUUGCAAUUGAUUCUUAGUUUGUCACCUCCCCUCCCAUAGGUUUUGACAGAUGGGCGCCCUUGGUGGACACACUUAUAACUUACUAUACAAAGAAUUCGAAAAUCCGUUUCAUACGAUCCGUCCGAUGCGUACGAUGAUGAACUAUGGCCGCCAGACAUUUUACCGUGAAUAUUUUAUAUUGUACAGCAAGGGUGACUAAAUAGCGGCCCGCGGACGAAUUUUUGAGAAAGAUUUGUCGUUUAUCCCAGUAAACAGUAUUUUAUUUUUAAUUAUAUUUAGAUACAAUUAAUUUUCGUUUUUUUUUUUUUUUUUUUAAUAAUUAAGCAAAACCAAAUAUACGUAAAAAGAACCGGAAAAUAUACUAAAACAAUUAAAAAUAAAAUAAUAUAAUUAACAUUUUUUUUUUUUGAAUGUAUCCAAUUCAGUUAAAGAUAUUCGUAGGCCUUUUUUUGGGCGUGGUAAAAUUUUAAAAACAUUUGAACCAUUUUUGAGUUACUUAUGGACAUUUUAAUUUGUGAAUAAAAUUAUUAGAUUAAAAAGAAAUUCUUGAAAAUGUGACGAUUUGCACGAUUUAUAAUGAACCAUUAUGAAAUAUACAUACGUUUUUUUACCGCGACCAAAGCAAAUAUCAGACUAAAUAAGUUUUGUCACUAUUAUCAUCUUUUACAAAUAAAAUUAUCAGAUACCUACAGAUAUAGUCUAUAGACAGAGUUCUUAAAAUCGAGUUGUGCACAAAAAUAUCGCCUUUAAUUUGAUUGCAUUAUCGAUGGUGGUAUCGGAUUCAAUAUUAUUGUCGCAUGUGUACAUUUUCGAUCAAAACGUUUUUAUUGCGACAAGCCGAAGAAAUUAACGGCAGUAAGUAACGGAAAUUUAAUUUUCAAUAGUCAUAACAAUUAUUAUUAAUAAUUAUAUUUCUCUUGGUUGUGAAUCGUUAUCCUAUCGCAAACGUCUAACCAAAUGGUAAUUUCAUUAAUUUUUUCCAAUAUUUAUCAACUGAAUAUUUUCAGUGCAUUCCGGUACAUUCCGAGCUCUGCGACAAAGGCAAAGAAGGGACGGAGUUAUGAGAGAGAGGCGGGGGUAAAGGGUUACCUCUUUAGGCGGCCAGAUGAAGUCAUUAUGUGCUUCUAACAUCAGAAAAGAAAUUUAACUUCGAAAAAGAAAUUUAAAAAACAGGUGACAAUAAAGAUAUAUUUAUCGAAUGGGUGCGAUAUAUCGUAAUACUUAAAGAGAUUGACAACGUCAUAAAACCCCAAUCGUUUUGAUUCUUUUUAUUAAAAUAUUACGAUUAAUAUAAGUACUCACCGUCACCGGAGACGUGUUCAAUCGGCAAAUAGCCGCUGCCACGACCGUGUCGAACGAUUACCGCAAAGGCACUCGCAAUUCGUAUAAUUCAUGUACGGUCGACGCGUUUAUCGUAAAUGAAAAUAAAAAGGCCAACUCGAACACGGCACAAAAAAAAAAAAAUACAACAAAAUAUUAUAUAUUAUUACGAGCCACGAGCGAAAAAACUAUGGCGACUUCGCAAGUCCGCAACCGCGGCUUGGCGAAAACUAAGGAGAGUGCGGAGUGCGGAGACGCCGAGCCACCGAUGAGCGAGGAAUCGUCAUCGUUGAAUCCGUCGCCCAUGGGAGAAGAAACGUAACGAUGUGGUACCGGACACGGGCUACGGGACCACGGCCAAUACGACGAAUCGAAAAAAACGGCUAGUAAACGAGGGCUAAUCGCACGGUUCGUAGGUAGAAAACUGUAUACAUCGUAAAGUGCAGGAGUCGCGAUUCCGCGUAACUGUCGGCCGUCGUCCGUCUGUAAAACCGUUGUAAAAGAAUAAAACGUAAAUCGUAUCGCGGACGAAAUACGACGGUGGUAUUUUCCGUUAAAUGUCGUUAAACGUAAAUACAGGUAGGUACUUACAAUAUCGCCGAUAUUCAACGGCGACGGAGGACAUGACGCGUUCUUUCCGCGGACGGAAUUCGUGAGCACGAAAACAUUUAAUGGCGACGGAGUCCGGCAUGUUCGUUGCACACAAGAAUUAUUACAAUAGAUAAUAUAUUAUUAAUAUCCAAAGGCGACGGGUUCGGUACGCGCAAACAGAAAAUAUUACACAACGACGACGCGUUCGAAUAAUUCAUGAGCGGAGCGGUUAAAGUCAAGUAGUACUUGGAAACAAUAACAGAAUAUUCAGGUAACAAACUUUACUGACAGUCAUUGUCAACGUUUAAUCACGGCGAAAAAUUUCCUAGAAUUCGACGACGAUAGCGCUGUGGUUUUAUUAUACAACAAUCGUACGCACAACUCCUUAAGCCAAUCGGGAAAACUUUGGACUUUGGUCACACAACGUAUUGUCGUGAAAAUAGACGCUAACGGUGUUGGCGAAAGUUGGCCAGACUGACGGCGCCAGUCGAAGGGAACCACAUGAGGGGGGGGGCUAUUUCUUUUUAUAAUUUUUGUUCCAAGACACUCAAAUCUCACCAGGUGAGAACCGGAUAGGAUUAACAAGGUGCAAUGCAGGGGUGUUUUGAGGCGAGAGCAGUGACAUAACUGCGGGAUAGCAAAGCGGGGCCCUGGACUUAAACAGGCCCCAUAGUGUCUUCUUAAAUGCAAUUUAUGUAUGCAAAAAUUUUAAAUUUUGUUUUGAAUUUCACCAAAUAUAACAUAAAAAUAUGAAUAGUGAAACCCGUGAUAUGUGAAUAAUAAUGUAACUGGAUAAAAUUGAGUAGGUACGAUAAUAAUCAAUUAUAUUUUAUAAGUUAUAUAUUUAUAUAUAAUUAAUUAUGUCUACUUACAAUUUGUCUUUGGGUUCAAUGGAGUUUUCCAAAUAGCUUUAACAUUACUAAUGCCAAAUACAUUUACUGGGAAAGAAAAGCAUAAAGAUAAACUAAUAAUGCUUUAAAUAUUGCUAACAAAUAGAACGUAAAUCAACAUUUUCUAAUGAAAGGACAAAAAUAACAAAAAAAAUAUUUUAAUGAAUUUGCUCAAGAUUUUAGAUUAGAAAAUAAUGAAUAUUUAUUCAAUGAUAACAUGUUUUAUAGUUUUGAAUGUGGUUUGUUUAGUUUGUCAACUUCAUAACCGUUUUGUAAAAAUGAAUAAAAUUUGUAGUUUAUUGAAUUUUUUGAGUCCUAGUGAAUUAAUUUCUUUUCCAAAAAUGUUAAAAUGAAAUAUUCACAAAAACUUUUAUUAAGAUGUCCGAGAUGGCUUGUACGUUUUAUAAGAUACCACUGGUCGGUACAUGUGAAAACAACCAUUAUUAGUAGAAUAUUAUUAAAACGGUUUGAUAAUAAUAAUUUAUAACCAAGUAUUAUUCAAGUAGGUGCCUAACACAUACCAGUUAUCUGCCAUCAGGUCUGGAUUGGUUUGGAAUUCGGAAUUUUUCCCGAUGGACUGCUCCGUAAGCAAUUAUCUACCUAAUUUGUACUAUUUUUAAAUUUAUUAAGCGAUUUAUGAAUAAAAAAAAAAAAAAAUAGAAAAAUGAAAAUUAUCACCAAUUAUAAGUGCUCACUAUUAUUACUGAAUGGUAAUGAAUUAUUAUAUUUUUAUAUUUACGUUUUUUUUUCCUCUGAGCAACUAAUUUCAGAUGUUUUCCUGUAGUUCAAUGUUGUGCAACAUUGAACCUUUUAGCACUACCACACUUGAUAUCACACAUUUUUACAAUAAAGUAUUUUACCGUCUGUUGAGAACACUUCAAGACCGAAUUCAGACACAAUGUGAUUUAAUUGUGAACAUAAAGAACUUUAACUUUAGGCAUUUUGUUUAAUAAAUAGUAAAUAGACGUUUGAACGUAUGGUCGACGAU